rnacentral:lncRNA from 1 species
UUCUUUAUUAGUAGGUUAUGCGUGAAAGAUGUUUUUUCCCCUAGAUUAACACGAUCUUUUACGACGACAUACCCACUGAAAACAGUUGAGGGUGUAAAUUCAGACGACCGAAAGUGGUAAAUGGGAUAACAGAAGAAUCGAAGAGCACAGAAAACACGUACAUCAGGGAAGGACCUAAUCAAUAAUUAGAAGGGGUGAGGCUUCGAAACCAGGUCGUCUAGCCCACCACCUUGUGGAGCUAGCCGGAAGACCCAUGUGCGUUUCUCGAAGAAUCGAAGAGCACACUGAGAUCCCUUUUAAAUAAUGGAAUGGUGAAAAACACAGAAAAAUGAAAAAAAUAUAGGAUUUUAAUAAAAGUACUUGUGUAACAUAAAAUAUUUUAAAACACGAAAAUAAUCAUUUAGACAGACAAUAGAAGAAACAUAAAAAUUUGUAUGAGAGGAGAGAUAGAGUUAGAGAAACUUUAAAGAGGUUAGAGCUAGCUCUUACUAACUUAGGAACUUAUGUCAUGCACAUAAGCUUUCGUAUGCAUACCGUUCAAACUAACUAACAAAUAUUACCGAAAUAGUAAAGAAAAAGUGAACAUGUACUUAAAAUCAUGUUACGUCUAUGUGUAAAGUCUCGCCUUCAAAUUUAUACAUAGAGAGAUAAAAAAAAUAAAAUUCUAAUAGAUUUAUACUAUUACAACUGUAAUUUUGAGGUGCUACUAAAAUAUAAUGAAUUUAAGUUAAAACUUUACAUACAUGUAGGUAAAAUAUUAUUGGAAGUUUUUGUCUAAAAGUUUUGGUGAUAUUUGUUACUGAUAUGCACGAUACACAUAUAAGUUUGUCUACAUAGGAUAUGUUUUCUACUGAUUUUUUUUCUAAGAUAUACAUGCAUUAAGCCAUUUCUAAAGAAUUUUCUGUUUCGAAAUGUAGAAAGCUCCAAUCCUCUGUUUCGAAAUGUCAAAUAAUUUGUUUUAUGUACGAUUGGAAUCCUACAAAGGAUGCCUCUUCGGAAGCCGUUUUGCUGUGUGACAGGAUCAAGGUGUGUUUGCUGGCAGGUGGUCAGGCAGCUCAACACUGUUACCAUUUUGACUGUCACUUAACUGGACCUGGAUUCCAAUAAAGUGCAGGGUACAAGGAAUCUUAAGCAAAACAGUGUGUGACAGUGAGGCUGGCUGGUGGUGACUAUGCUCCCUCCUGGUCACAGCAAAUCCCAGGCUAUGUGACAAGAAGAACACGCAGAAACAGCUUGCCGUGUGCGUCGGAGACGAGUAAAAAAAAAAAGUACAGGGUGCAUCCAAAACUGAAUGCAUCAAGACGCUUAGGUAUAGUAUUUCUUUUCUUUUCAUCAGCAUUCGUCUCCAAUUAGCUUAAAGUCUUAAACCAUGCUAAAAUAAUCACGGUUUAAGGAUGAACUUUUCCCCGGGAUCAGAUCAUCAACUAAUUUGGACACCCUCUUGCCCUUGAUUAAGGGUUCAACGUGGGGACGAAAUCCUUGCUUCACUCUUUCACAAUCACAUCCCUCUUUAUUCCAUGCACGACAGCAAACUAGUAUCUCAUAAAGCUAAAAUAUCUCACUUGCGAGGUGGUUUAAUUAUUCAGUAAUCAAAAGUGUGCGUGUUUUUUUUCUUGGCCCAUACCUAGAACAUGGAAAUUAUUGUCCUCUUUGAAAUAGAUGUCAGAUCACAGUUCACGACAGGUAAGAUGACCGGUCUGCAUUGUUUGACCACUCGUCUUAUUCAAAAAAUUUGUGCUAAUAUAAAAAACGAAAAGUUAUGCUUAAAGUAAUUUGGAUAAUAAAGUAAGUCAAAAAAAAUAAUAAUUCUAAAAUUUUUUAAAUAAGACGAGUGAUCAAGCAAUACAAGAAAAACUCAAAAUCCCUUAUAUUAUAGGACGGAGGGAGUAGAUUACUUGGAAUCACCUGGUGACAAUCUCCCCUGUAUGUAGAAUAACCUUACCUUACGUUAAGUUACAAGAUUCAUUUCUAAUUAAUCGAGAUAUGCAUGCAAACAACUCUAAUACAAAGGAGAUUCCAUCGGAGCUUAACUCAAUCAUCUUGUUAUAAACUAUGGAUAUUUUAAAAUGACCAGCAUGGGAUUUAUAGUACAGCAACCCGGUCAGUUGUUCAGGUUCUUUGAAAAACCUACGGUACAAUUUUAUUGAAAUCAUGGAGAUUCAAAAUAGAAUUUUCAUAUUAAAUCAUCACCAUAGUUAGAUUUAUCUGAACUCUAAAAUUUUACUACCUCCGUCAUUUUCAGCUGAUUUUUUUUGCGCGUUACACGUUAAUCAAAGGAAAUUCAUGACAAAUACUAUAGAUAACCGCUUAUUCCUCAAAUUUAUCCUACUACUCUCAUUCAUCUGUCCACAUAGUAGAUAGCUACUGUACUCUGUCCUACAUCUAACUGCAGCUUGCUCAAAUUUCUCCUACUACCACUCACCCAUCUCUCCACACAGAUAGCAGGUACUGUAUUUGAGUAUUGGCUACUAGGUGGUGGUUAAAGAUGAUCAAUGCUGAUGAUUACACCACCUGUGAGGAAGCUGGCAAAGGACUUGAUAAAGUGGAGUAUCCUCUUGCCCAAUGGAGAUGUUGGGGCGGACACCAACACCCCUGAUUGGGGACACGAGCUCCGGAGGCCCCACGCUGUGCCACCCAUGGCGACGUCCUUCUCCCAUCUUCUUCCAUUUUGUUUAACACUCGCUUUGCCGUCCUAGUUGGACAGUUUCUUAGGUUUCAUCUUUCUUCUGUCGGGACCAGCAAGAUUAAUCCACCAUAAUGCUUGGAACUGCCUUCUUUUCACAUAAAAAAACACUUAGUUUUAGCACAUAAAAGAAAUACCUAUAAGAGCGAAGACGCGAUCAUUUUUAUAAUGAACUUAUAAGUAUUUCGCGUUCGUUUUCCUUUUUCAUUUUAGUCGCAAAAUGCAUAAAUAUUAGUAAGAAAUAGUUCCACUUCUAUGGAAAGCUUGGAGAAUCAUGUGUUCUAUGGAUGAAAAGAGGAUGGCAUACUCUCCUAGGAUGCUACUUCUGCAGGAGGAUGAUGCUAAAGGCUAAAGCAAAGCACUCCCCCUUCUGUCAUGGUACUAGGAGGGAUCAGGUGCUCCAAUUACAACCUAAAGCAUCCUAUUAAUGAACUGAACUACUUUAAGAUUCUGCUGGGGUGCAUUCCUGUAGGCCCAGUUGUCCUUUUAAUGAGGGGGUGCCAGUAAAUGUAUGCCACCUAAGGUCAGGUCGAGGCUCUUCAAUUUUGUUCUUGUGUGACUGGAGUAGAUCUGUGGUUUUUGUUAUAGACAGGCAGCCACCACUAUGGCUGAGUAAAAUAAUACCUGUAUGCCAGUAAAAAACAAUAAUAUAUGUAUAAUCAUGUAUAGUUGCUCUCUUUGUGUUUUUAGCAACACCACUCUGAUUUUCUAGAGUUUUUAACUUUCAACCUUGGUAAAUGUUGGGUGUAGUGGUGCCAAACUAGUAAGUAGUGGCUUUGUGUGUAAGAAUGCAUGGGACUGUGUUUGAGCAAAUGCAUAAGCAAUGCAAGAAUCUGAUAAUACUACCAGCAUGGAAGUGGUGAUGGGUUGUCCAUGCACUCCACUGAAAUAUAUUGUGGAAAAGGAAACAAUAAAAAUGUACAAGUUGGAAACACAUUGAGACAAGCAAAGUUGCCUAAAAGGAAGACUUAUAAGUUGUUAUCAAUUUUAUCUUUACAUGACGAUGCUAAAUACUCUGGCCACAGUAGGUUUAGAUAGACGCAUUCAUGAUUAUGAUGGACUUCUUCCCUCAAGGGUACAGUUUUUUUCCCCCAAAUAAAUAGAUCAAAUUUCACAUGCAAUUCAACAAGUUAUUUGAAAUUGAGUUAUAUUCACCAUACAACUCUAUGACUAUUUAUAAAUAUACAAUUGUUGUCCAUAUGUAUUUGCAGUAAGCUAGGCCAUUAAAAUUUCAUCCCACCAAAAUAGAUGGUGUACCUUUUUUUCUUAUAUGACAAACACAAUAAUUUCAAGACUUCAAAAGAGGCGACGAAGUGGCUCAUUUUAGGUCUCUCUUUAUGGUAGUAAAAAUAUUUUUCUUACCCAUGAAUGCAUAAUUGUCUGUCACUGAUCUUAAAUAUUAAUGAAGAAUAGAUUCAAAUCAUUAGUAUGUAAAAACCAACCGAAAGUAUAGAAUACACGGAUCAUGAUGCUAUAUCUUUCGAUAUUCCCGAGAAGAGCUAUUAUCUCACAACAAUCUUGUUGACGUCAGAUAUCUUUGACGCUCAUAUCAUGGUUUAGUGCGUAGAAACAUUGACUUAUAGUCUUGGCCGUAUCCGUUGAUUCUAUCUAUACGAUAUGCAUUGGAUGCUUAUCUUUUCGAGUACACACGUAAACCAUAUCUUGUAGAUAUGUUUAUUACGCCAUUACUAAGAUAUUGCAUAACAUUAAAUCGCUAUUGAGGCAUUGACGAUAGACAAUAACAUCUUGCCAGAUAAAGAUCACUAUUACUGUCUUACCACAUAAAGCUCUCUGUUUUUUUACCAGAAACAUAAAGCUCUCUGUUGUAGCACAUAUCUGUUUUAACCCAAAUACCAACCGUAACACAUACCUUCUUCUACAAUAACCUAUAACCCAUACACACAAAAUUUUCCCAACUUUUAAACGAAAAACCAAUCUUCUCCAGCCAUCCAAAAGCAAAAAAUCAAGCUAAGAAAACCCCCAAACAACCAAAUAGAAACCUCCAAAUUAACCUAAGAAAAACCGACGCCGAUAAGUGACAACCCAUUUUUUUUCCAAAAAUAAUAAAAUAAUAUAACAAAGAAAACGAGCAACCGAAGCGAGCCAAGGGUUUUUGAGUACAAACGCACCGUCCCCCAGUCUAGUCUACUCCUCCCCUCCCCUUCCCCCUUCCCUCCCUCCCUCCACUCCUCUCCCCCCUUCGCCUCCACCUCCGCAACAACAAAUACUACUACGCAAAAAAAUUCCCUAACCUCGCAAGCAGCAGCAGCGACUCCGCCGAGGAGGAGGAGAGCAUCGAGCAGCUCGCUCCCCUCCCCCCUCUCGGAUCCGCUCGCCCGCAAUCGCGUGGGCUUCUCCCUCCCCCGAUUCGCCCCCUCCAAAACCCUAGGCUAGAUCCAGCCCGAGGAGGAGGAGGAGGAGGGGGAGGAGGUGGUGGUGGUGGGACGGACUGGACGGCCCCGCGCCCGCCGCCGAUGGCCGCCGAGGACGCGGGCGGCGGCGCGGGGGAGAGGAUGAAGCUGCUGUGCAGCCUCGGCGGCCGCAUCCUCCCGCGCCCGGGCGACGGGACGCUGCGGUACGCCGGCGGCGACACCCGGAUCGUGUCGGUGCCGCGCGGGGUGGCGCUCGGGGAGCUGUUCGGGAGGCUCGCCGAGGCGUACGGGGGCGCCACGGGGGCGAGCUUCGCGGUGAAGUACCAGCUCCCCGACGAGGGCCUCGACGCGCUCAUCUCCGUGUCCUCGCCGGAGGAUCUCGACAACAUGAUCGAGGAGUAUGACAAGCUGGCCGGCGCGAGCCCCAAGCUGAGGGUGUUCAUCUUCCCCAUCUCCGACGCGGCGGGCGGUGGCGGCGGGGAGGAGGCGGAGGGCGGGGGAUUCGAUGCCGGGCUCCGGUAUCUGGAGGCGGUGAACGGUAUUGUGCGCAAGGACAGCGUCGCGAGCCUCUCGUCGACGCAGAACUCCGAUGGCGGGCCGCCUCCGCCGGCGCCGACUUCGGGUGGUGGCGGCGGCGGCGGUUCUCCGACCGCGCUCUCCCCCACCUCUACUUGCUCGAAUGAUGCCGCGAGAUCGGCGUUUGGUGUGGCGGCGCCGCCACCGCUUGUCGAUGUGUUCAGCAAUGCCGCUGCUCCGGCUCCUGUCCCUGUGAAGCCACAGGAGAUUGCUGCUGAAGUGAGGGCUCCACCGCAGGCGAAUCCACAGCCGGAAGCAGCGAGGUACCGGCAGCCGCUGUCGCAGCUACCACCGUUGCCGCCUGUGUUCAUGAACGAUCAUAGGGAGGCCAUGCAGGGUCUGAAUCAGGCGAUGCCAGGAAAUGGGGGAAGGCUGGAAGACUGCAAUAUGUGCUUGAAGGCACUUCCUCAUGCUCACUCAGAUCCAGUGGUGAAUGACUACGGUAGCGAUAUGCAUGGAGGGCCUGGCCCCGAGACGGUGCCGGUAUACAUGAGCCUGCGGCCAGAAGACGUGGCAAGGAUUAUGAUGCCGGAGAGGGCGGUGCCAGUUCCGAUGGGGGCUUAUGGGUACACCCAUAUGCAUCCCGUGCCGCAUGAGAGGGAGAUGAUGUAUGCGCAGCAGGUUGAAGGGAUUCCGAACACAGUGCUCAUUGACCCAUCUGGCUUGCAUCAGCAUGUGUAUGUUCAUCAGCAGCAGCAAGUUCCACCACAGCAGUUGCCUUCAACCUAUGGAUUUAACCAGAUCCCUGUGAUUCCAAAUGAGAAGGACAGAGUAGUUUCUCCAGGUUCGGCUCAUUCUGAUAUCUCAAGCUCUCAUCAACACAUUAUGCAGCAGCCGCUGCCACCGCAGCAGCAGCAAUUGCCUUCAGGCCAAGGAAUGGCACAAUAUCCCGUCAAGCAAAAUAGUCCAAACAAUCAGCUUACAGGUGAGGGUAGCCUAAGUGGCAAUGCAAGGCAUCGUGAGGAUGGACUGACGCGCCGUGAUAAUGUGUCCCCAGUGGCACCUGCUGCUGUGCCGACUUAUAUGGCUAAUGUGGACAGGAUGAUGGAUUCGCUCCGCUUGAGCCCUAGUGAGGCCAGUUCUGCCUCUACUGAACAAAGAAAGCCAGUGAUGCCUCCUGAGAAUGGUGUACCCCAGAAUGCCAUACCAGAAAACUCUCAGGGGUUCCCAGAUACUCGAGCAAGAGAAGUUAGUCAGAGCAACACCAACACCUUUUUUGAUGUCAGUGAACCUAAGGUAGUCCUUCCAACUGAACCAGCACCAUCACCUUCCAUUGCCAGCUCUUAUUUGCACAAUGUUCAGCACACCAAUGUGAGCCAUAUGCCACAUAUGAUGAGCAUCGGGGGUCCCUACUCGAGUUAUGUUGUAGCUACGGUUGGGCCUGGUGGAGUGCCUCCAUCGGCUUAUGGUGUUGAUCUUGUCUAUGCAAAUUCUGCUGUAAAUCCAUUAAGUGAGCGCAAGGAUGUUCCACAUGAAGUAGCUCCAAAUGCUAAUGCUCAGGUACCUGCAGCAGCAUUGGUAAAUCAUGCUCCCAAUGUGGACCAAAUCCAAGAGUCUGGCUUACAAGGCCAGCAAUUUGGCAAUGACGACCCCUGGAAAGUAGUGACAAAUACACAUGCUUUGCCACCGAGACCUAAGAGGGUAGCAAGCAGGGAAAACAUCAGCCCGAAGGAUCCACAUUCUCACAACUCUUUAUUAAAUUGCAAAGGGCCAGAUCUGAAUAUUCCGGCUGAAGAUGUUGCUCUCCACCAACAAUCAGAUCACAAGGACGCCCAUACAGAGCAUGGUCGAUUCAUCAAAGGUUGUCUGCUUAACCAUAUUUCCUGAUAAAACCUUGUCAAUAUAUGUACUUGUAAGUUGUGAAUCUUAUUUCUGCAUAUCGCAUCAAUCCAGGUGAUGAUAUGACCAGCCCAGAUUUGGUAAGUGUCGAGGACAGUUUACCUACAUCUAAUACAAAGUCAUCAGAGCCUCAGCCUCCUGUGGUGAAUGAUGGAGUUGGUGCUGUCACUGGUAAAGUAGAUGCUGAAGCACACGCCAAUGAGGUUAAUAUAUAAUUUCUUACUUUCUCAGAUGUGUCCUUAUUCAUGUCAUCCUUAAUGCUAAGCAAGAGAAUCAUGCAGGUUAACAAGAGCAGACCAGCAGAUUGGAUUUCAGGUUUUCCAGCUACUGAUGAUCUUGGACGUCUGCAGGUUACUUUCGUGAACUAUAGCUUUUUAAUCGUGCAAAUCUUUGAUAGUUAGUUCUGUUACCAAUCAAAUGUUUAUGUUGCAGAUUAUAAAGAAUAAUGACCUUGAAGAGCUCCAAGAACUUGGUUCUGGAACUUUUGGAACCGUAUAUCAUGGUAAAUGGAGGGGAUCUGAUGUUGCUAUUAAAAGAAUCAAUGACAGAUGUUUUGCUGGGAAGCCAUCAGAGCAAGACAAGAUGGUUAGUUCUCACACUUCAGAUUGUUAUGUUUGGCUAUGCUGUCUUUGCAUUGAUAUAUCCUGGAUUACUGCAGCGGAAUGACUUUUGGAAUGAAGCAUCUAAACUUGCUGAUCUACACCACCCAAAUGUCGUGGCCUUUUAUGGUGUUGUUCUUGAUGGACCUGGGGGAUCAAUUGCCACUGUUACUGAAUACAUGGUUAAUGGUUCACUCAGAACAGCUUUGCUGAAGAAUGCCAAGUAUGUCCCUUUACACCCAGAGUUAUCUUCUGCUUUGAUCUGUUACAUCCUAAUGUCUAAUGCACAUAAAAUUGGUGGUCUUGCAUGGUGUUGAUUGAAUCAAAUUAUCUGUGCAGGACCCUGGAUAAGCGUAAGAGAUUGAUAAUUGCCAUGGAUACUGCUUUCGGAAUGGAAUAUUUGCAUAACAAAAACAUAGUGCACUUUGACCUGAAAAGUGACAAUUUGCUUGUUAAUUUAAGGGAUCCUCAGCGUCCAAUAUGCAAGGUAAGCAGCAGGCUCCAUUUGUUUUUAUUAGAUUGCUACAUCGUGUUGCUAAAUUAUUAUGAUUUCCCUUAUCUGUAAUAUUUGUGGUACUUGAUAUUAGGUAAUUUAGGCAGUAUGUCCUAUAUUGUCCUUUUAAACUGGGUACUCAUGGUAAUUUUUAGCAUUAUUAUCCCACAUUCUUGUAAAUUUACUUCUUAGGAGCAUAUGGUGUCCGCUGUUCUGAUCCAGAUAGAUAUCUAGUUUGCCUGGUACAGAAUUGCUGUUAGUACUGAAUGAUUAUAUCUGCUUGGUUGGAACCUGCUGCCGCUUGGGCAUCUUCCGCUGCAGCUUCAUGGAGCAUGACAUAUGUAUGAUAGGAUGAUGGAGCAGCUCUGAUAUUUGUUUUAUUAUAUGUUAGUAAGACACAAAUGGUGGCAUGGGUACACGAUCUGAUAAGAGGAAGUUUCUAAAAGUUUAACUACUUGAUAUAACUUGAGAUUAUAAACAUCUGCUUUCUAGCAAAGACCUCUCUGUACAAAUUCUUGAGCCUGCUUGUUUGUCAUCUUAGUUUGUACUCCCUCCGUCCCAAUAUAAUUGCAACCUAGUACGGAUGUGACAUACCCUAUGACUAGGAAUCUGGAUAGGCAACUGUCCAGAUUCGUAAUCCUAGGAUAUGUCACAUCAUUGUCUAUCCAGAUUCCUAGCCCUAGGAUAUGUCACAUCAGUACUAGGUUUGCACUUAUAUUGGGACGGAGGGAGUAUUCUUUUAGUUGAUCGACUAGCGUUCUUUGUUGAAUUUUCUAUGAAACACUUAGCAGCAUUUGCUUUUAACACCUUGAAAUGUCACCAGGCAUUUGCAAAUGUGGCUGGACUGAUAUAUUGCUGAUGCAAACUUCCAGCAAAUUUCAUUUUACUUGUGCCAACAAAGUGACCUUUUGAAAAUAUAAUUAGGUGACUGGUGUCCUUUCCCCUAUAUAUUUAGCUAUUUUGUAAUAAUUUUCUUCGAUGAUGUAGGUUGGUGAUCUUGGACUUUCAAAAGUAAAAUGUCAGACCCUCAUCUCUGGUGGUGUGAGGGGGACUCUUCCAUGGAUGGCUCCAGAACUUCUGAAUGGAAGUAGCAGCUUGGUCUCCGAAAAGGUCUACAUAUUGAUUGUGUCAUAUUAUCAUUUGACCUGCUACAUUCAUGUCCAUAUUAAACUAACAUUAACGUUGCCUUGGUGCCUCAGGUUGAUGUGUUCUCCUUUGGGAUUGUUCUCUGGGAACUCUUAACAGGAGAAGAACCAUACGCAGAUCUGCAUUAUGGUGUUAUUAUAGGUUGGUCUUGAUUUCCCAUUUCAGAUUUUACAUGAUCCUUAUCUGAUACUGUCGUAGGAAUUAUACGUGCAAUAUAGAUGGACAAAGAUGAUUUGAUUGCCAAGCUUGGUGUAAAAUUUUCUACUCUUGGCAGGUGGCAUUGUGAGCAACACUCUACGACCAGCAGUACCUGACUCUUGUGAUCCAGAGUGGAGAUCACUAAUGGAGCAAUGUUGGUCGACAGAACCAUCCGAACGGCCAACCUUUACGGAGAUUGCUGGUAGGUUACGCUCCAUGGCUGCAUCCCAUAAGGUGCAACCCUGAGGUGAACAACCUGGGAUGGGAUAUUGUAACAGAAUGGCCGGCAACAAACUUCUGGGGCAUCGGUGGACAAGUUCUCUACUGCCAGAUCGCGUAUUUAGGAAUUCAGCACUGAUAUAAAUAUGCCUUCAUUUAUGUCCCUAGGAUCUAUCUGUUCAUACCUCUUCAUUGUUUCAUAUCUUGUAAUCAAAAAAAGUUACCAGCCGUGUGUCCAGAAGCAUCGCAAUGGACGGUCUCAGAUCCAUAUUCUUUCAUUUAUACCUUUUGCUUAGAGGUGCGUUUAAUAAGUUAUUAGUCUAGAGUCAGUUAUAGGGAGCCCAAUAUGUUUUCCUUUUUUCUUUUUCUCCCCCUUUUCCUGGGUAAUAAUUGAGUUAUUUGGGAGUCAAUCGGUCGGUCGGUCGGAAUGUAAACUGAUGUUGAAGGGUAAUUAAGCUUGGUUGGUCUUUGCAAGUCUUGGAACACAGAGUGAGGUCCUUGCUUGUAAUAAGAUGUCUGUUUUUCUUUUUUGUGGUUUGUGAGAUAUACCGAUUUGUUAAGUACUCUUGUAACAGUCACAAGUCAUCAUGUAUGAUGUGUUGCAGUUUUGCUGAAGAUAGUUAUAAGACUAUUGUUGCAGAGAUUUAUUGCUCUCUUGCCAGAGUUUUGCCGCUGCUUCUAUGCUUGAAAUGAGCUGGUUUUGGAUAUUUCCUUUCGCGAACACGUGAAAAGAUUGCACGUCAAAAUAUUAGAAAUAUUAGAAGAAAGAGCUGGUUUUGGAUUCGUGGCAACAAUCUCUCGUUACCUAGAAUCCGCCAUGGUUGUUUCUGGAUUCAUGGUUGCGAUUUAUUCGUUACCUGAAUCUGCCAUGGUUGUCGUCUAGUGGAUCAUCUGGAUACUGUUUGCGCUGUGGACUUCAUCUCUCUGUUGGCGCGGCACGUACAGAGGGUAUAGAUGACGGAUUGGCCAUGUGGUGACUGACGGCGACACGUGAUGGCAAAUUCGGUGGACGCGGCGCGCCCGUCGUGACUGAAGCGGCGGUCGAUUUCGCUCCCCGAAUCGGGCAUGGAACGCGUAUGUGCACGACGCGUGCGCCAUCACGCACAACAGUUAGCCGAAAAGAAUCUCCGGCUGUCAUCGAUCAGUGGGCUAAUUGCCGAUAAUACCACAAACGAUCUAUUAACGAUAAAAUGAUUUUUAUAUAUUUGUUCUUAAUGGUUUCAAUAUCAAUAUUGAAAAAGAACUAUGAUUAAAACCUUAAAAUCGAUUUUAAAUUCAAGUUUUAAAGAUCUAUUCCUAAAUUUUAGCAUAGACAUAUACGCUGUAGGGUAAAACAUGUGACCCCUCCAGAACACAACAAACCAAAUAGGUCUCCACACUUUGCUCACCGAUCUCCACGGCGACGUGGGUUGUACACUUUACCCUCCAAUCUCAACGACGCCAUAGUAGUAGUACUAGCAGUGAGUAGAUCAGUAGGAUCGGGAACGAAUGGAGAGGCCGAGAUCCAGUCUCGCGACUCGCAACGAAGCAGUCGUCCAAUUGAUCUACGUUGGUUGUUGCACUAGUUGCAAUCCUCUCCCUCUUGUAUUUUAUCGAUCUUCCCGGCAAGCCGGGAUCCUGUCCAGCUAAACCGCCGCAAACACCCAUCGGGGUCCCUUGUUCAUGCAUAUAUCCAUGAUCCAUCCCAAUCCCCCAGACCGAUCGAUCAAUCGAUCGAUCGGAUCAGCGCCGAAGCAUGUGUUCUUUCAUCUUUCUGCAAUUGAUUUGACCCCCUUUUGUUUUUCUCGGUGUACAUUAUGCACAUAAAACUAGCGCUUUCCCUACGCAUGGUUAGGAAAAAUGGAGGUGCAUAUGCUGUAUGGAAAUUCAUAGUACAUGCCAUUCCACUUCUUUUUCCCCCCUGAACCGUAGCAUAAAAACAUACGCUCGUAUGUACACAUACACACUUAUCAUUAUAAACACACAAAUGUACAUCAUAUUAGCCAUAUAUUUGCCGUUUACCGGUACACCACAUAAAUAAUAUAUAAGUAUAAAUAAAAGCACUCAUGUCAAAGUUUACAAAAUUUCACAUAAUAAUCCAUUCCUAAAUUUGUAAUAACAGUGGCUAACCUGAUAUUUGCAAUUUUAUUUUAUUUUGGGGGGCCAAAACAAACAAGCCUCUAAGCAAGAUGACAAAUUUAUCGAUAAAAAAACUAGUUUAGGAGAGUUCUCAAUUUUAGAUUACGAAAUUUUAAAUGAAGGUGUGAACCAUGAGCUUGUUUGGUAGGAAUCCAAUUACUAAAUAUAACUCUAAGAAGAGUCUAUAGUGUAGUUGUUGAGCAGCUCGAACCAUCGCUCCACACUUCUAGUUUGUUUUCUCAUAUCACUGCAGCCUGCUCUGUUUUCUUUUGAGGUGGAGUUCAGAAACCAUUUCAGGUGUGUUUACCAUUGCUCCAACUGCUAAAUUUAACUUUAGGAGUUAGAUCUACAGUUGUGGAGCAGACUAAACCUAACUCCAUCUCUCUAGUUCAUUUUAUGAGAGCACUCUAGUAAGCUCCACUCCCUUUUUAGGUGGAUCUAAAAUUGUUUGGAUCUAUUUGACAGAACUCCAACGAUUAAAUUUAACUAUACGAGUUAGGUCUACUAAAGCUCUAAAAGAGAUUGAUCAUGGGAGUUUCAUUUUUACUCCCAGUCCUUUGUUUAGUAGUAGAGGUGGAAAUAAUGGGGAGUAUGGAUAAGAAUUAAAUUUUAAGUGAUGAUGCACGACUCAUAUUUAUCUUGUCAUACUUAGAAAGUAUAAUUAUCUCCCAAUUAACUACCCUACACAGUUAUUGAAAAGGUGGGAGUUCACCCUUAAACUCUCCUUUCCAAUCCCUUCUAAAACUCCCACAUUAUCCAAGCAAAUAAUAGACAUAUCACCAACAGAUUACCUAUAAUAUUUCUCCAAAAAAUUGUUUAUAGGUUUCCUAAACUGAAAAUAGUAAGUGAAAAAACUCCUCCCUCCAACAGAUAGCUUUAAAUUCAAUCCCCAAAGCUUAAAAGUGGGCCAUUCUGUUAAACUACCAACAGUAAAUUCCGUUUUUUUUUUCCUUUCACGCGUAGAAAGAUCGCUAUCUCCCACGCGCGGCAACGGGAGGAGAGAGGUGGGAGUGCGAGAUUGUGAGCGAGUUUCGCGCCCGCAUAUAAACGGAGCGAGUAAUCGGGAGAAGGGAACACCAAAACUCAGGUAGGAAAGUAGGGGAUCUGUUAUAGCUGGUUUUUAGACUAAAAUUCUUCAAAAUCAGUUUUGGGAUUGAGAUAGGUAUACUGUUGGUGAUCCUCGAAAAUAAUUCCAUAACCAAACUGGCCGUAAAUGGACAGGUGAGAGCUGAAACCAGCCCAAGAUUCUUGGGGGCGAUCGAUGGGUACAACGACCAAACGGGGAUUCUGGCCCACCCAAAUGAGGCCCAUAACAGUUUCUCUCAAUUGCGACACUGGGCCUAAACGGCCCAAGAACCACUCUCUUCCGUAGUGGUUGCAAGUUGCGACCCCUAGCUAGCUCCGUCUCUCCUCUUCCGCAUCGCCUCCAUAAUUUUCUUUCCCCUCCUCUCCUCACCUCGAUCUCCUCCUCCUCCUCCUCCGCCGCACCGAGGGUUUCGCCUCCGCCUUCCACCGCUGCCGCAGAGGGGACGAACCGAGGGGCAGGAAUGGCGGCGCGGCACCUCAGAUCCGGCCUCCCCCUCCUCCGCGCCCACCUCUCCCAGGUCUUCCCCUCCCCCUCUUCGCACCCUUCGAUUUCAUUCCAGUUUAGGGGAGCCCCCCGCCCCCCCCCUUCGAUUUAGAUGCGUGGCGCAUGAAUCCCACGCUCGAUCUAGGUCAUCCAUUUCUCGCUGGGAUUUUCGGUGUUUUUUUUGUGGGGGAUUUUUUUUAUUUUUUUUGUUGGCUAUGCGGCGCCUGCCUGGAUCGCGUUGGUUGGUUGUUGUUGUUGAGAUUGAUGUGAUUGGUUGUGAUGAUGCAGGAGGGCUCAAGGGGCUUCGCGUCGCAGGUGGCAAAGCCGACCGGGAAGGAUAUCAAGGUAACCUGGAACGGGCAUCUCGUUGGAUUGCUCACAUUUUUUCGUGUGAUGCCGAUGUAGUUUUGAUACUGCUAGGGAACAGGGGGGAAUGUUAAUAGUUAUACACGUCAUUGGUGAAAGCUUCUCUGGUUAGCCUGGUUCUGUGACAUGAGAAAAUGUGCAAUUUGUUUGUACUGCUGCCUGUGGAAAAUGAUUCGUGUCUUUUAUUUUUGUGCCGUUGUGGUGUUAUGGCUAUGAAUCCUCUCCCUGUUAGGAAAUGUGAUGAUGCAAUACUGGUAGAGACUGUGUUUCAUCGAAGGAAAAUUUGCUCGCGGUAUAUUCAACUGGUAGAUGAUUUUGUAUAUGCAUUGUUCUUGUUUUUUAUUAUCUCAACAUGAUUUCUGCCUGUUUUCGAUUAGUGCUUUUCCAUUUCAGUUUAUGGGUUACUUUUGGCAGUUUGAGUAGUUCUUAUUUUGCCCUGAGAUACUCAUGUUAAUCUUAUUUGUUGUGUUUGUUUUGCCACAAUAGGUUCCAGAAGCUCUGUAUGGUGGCACCGGCAACUAUGCUAGUGCUCUGUUCCUUACAGCGGCCAAAGCUAACUUGCUGGACAAAGUUGAAACUGAGAUUCGCGAUGUUGUAGAGGCAUCCAAGAAGAGUCCAUUGUUUUCUCAAUUCAUUAAGGACUUGUCAGUGCCCAAAGAGACCAGGGUGAAGGCAAUAACUGAAAUUUUCGCUGAAGCUGGUUUUUCAGAUGUCACAAAGAAUUUCUUGGGUAUACUUCUGGUCCACACAUGUUAUGUCUAAUGAAGUUUAUUGUAUUUGUUUAUGAUAACUUUGUUGCAGUUGAUAGUAAACCAACUCGUUAUAGAGGUAGCUUGAGGACAAGCCCAAACCCCAAAUGCAUCUGAUUAUUUUCAGAAAUUUUUAUUCCAAUGCCAUUUUGUAUAUCAACGGUUUGCUACCUUCAGUUAUUAUAAUUUCAAUGUGAGCCAACAAUAUUUGUAGUUUUAGUUUGAUCUGCUACAAUAAUUACAGUUUUUUAUUUUGAAAGGGCUAACUAUCUGAUCAACGCUUUCCUAGAACCUUGUUUUUAAUUCAUGUACUCAGUAUCAUUAAUAGAUGACACGGAGUUCUUUUUCCAUAUGUACUCUUUUGGUUAGCACCUAAGGUUUUUUUUCCUUCCUGUGAAGCUGUGCUCGCCGACAAUGGCAGACUGAAGCACAUUGAUCGCAUUGCUGAGAGAUUUGUUGAUUUGACCAUGGCACAUAAGGGGGAGGUGAAGGUCCUUGUCAGGACAGUUAUUGUAAGUUGAUGUCUGAAGCCUUUGAUCUCCUUUCUUUUUUCCUGACAGUGUCUGGUUGUUAUAUUAUACCCUCUGAUUUCAAAUAUAUGUAUUUUAACCUUUCAACGCUUUCCCAAAUAUAAGCCACACUAGAAAUUCGAGACACUUUUCACUCCUCUUUUCCUUCUCGUUAAAUAAAUUGUCACAUGAAAAAUAACCCCUUCUUUUUUCCAAUGAGGAUAUACCUCAUGGAGAUACAACAUACAAUACUGAGCAACUGUUGCUAUCGUAAUCACUCUACAAAAUGUUGAAGAAUCAGCUUCUAGAAUUCUUUAUGCUAGCUUACAUCAAUUGGUCAAGAUAUUUAUGGAUUUGUACGUACUGCAGCUUCUAUUAUAGUUCCUUGUACUGUAGUUAGCUGGUUUCUCUUGCUGACUUUCUGGUUUUCUGCUGUUAGCCACUCCCCGAAAAAGAGGAGAAGGAACUUAAGGAGACCUUGCAAGAUAUUCUUGGGAAGAACAAAACUAUCUUGAUUGAACAGAAGGUAAUUCCUUGGUUCAUCAGUUGCCUAUAGUCUGUCAAGUGAUAUUCAAAGGACAUGCACUCAAUUAUUUGUUGCCUGCAGAUUGACUACAGCAUCAUGGGAGGGCUAGUUAUUCAAUUUGGGCAGAAGGUGUUUGAUAUGUCGAUCAAGACUAGGGCGAAGCAAAUGGAGAUGUUCUUGAGGCAACCCCUUGAUAUCUAACUGCCUUUUGGAUCGAAAGAUGCAGUUGUUUUGCUGCUGAAGGCAUCCUCAUGUCUGUUACUUUGAUAUGGUCUUGAAAUAAAUCUUCGUUUACAAGAGAACAACACUCUGUUUUAUCUUGUUUUGUGUGCCAGAAGCCUGCUGAACAAUUUUAUGUCAAUUUCUUUGCUACUAAGAAAGUUAUGCACCAAAAUGAAGGGAAAUUCUGUGAAGUUUGUAAUUUUCAAGUGAUUGGCAUUAUUCUGUUUAGUUCGUGCAGUGCCAUGUUCCUUAUAUAAUCACAGAACAUGUAAAAGGCCGAAAUAUUUUCCUUGUCAUUUUCCAUGCGAGAACGGCCUUUCGAUGAGACUGGAAAGUCCUGCAAUAACUAUUGUCCAAAAUAACACACGGCUCUCUACCGAUUCACAUCAAAACCAACCCAAACGCUCUCUCUGUUGCUUGUGUUCUGGACUUCUCUGAGCGCAGUUCAGGAGUCUCGAGUGUGCCUCAACAGUACAUGUUAAACAUAAAACUGCCAUUGAAGAUUACCACCAACCAUAUUGGAAGUUUAUCAUGGCAUAUACUUGCCUUUCAAAGACCCUAAUUUUCAAAGUGAACAUGGGACUUUCAGACUACAGAUAACCUCAAUCGAUAACAUCACCGAAAAUUCGAUAUUACUACAAAGAUUUUGGUUGAAAACUUCUCUGAACCCAAUUUAAAUACAAGUCGCCCUCGGUGAUGGCUACUCGCCAUUCCACGCUCACAGUUGCAGUUCACACUUGCAAAAUGAAAAAAAAAAUCUUCUGAACAGCAAUCAUCAACCGGUUCGACCUCAGGAUCAUCACAGAAAUGAAAAGGACGAGGAAUCUCAAUUUAAGAAAGUUCCUAUCCAAAUAUCCAACAAAAAUCUGACUGUCUGGCUAUUAUUAAUUCAACAGGAGAUGCUCGUUAAAGACAAUAUAGUUCUGUAAUUUGUAACAACACAAGAGCCUGAGGAUAUAACGAGUUACAAACAUGCUGCCGUUGCAGCAUGGUCAUCAAUAUACAACAUUACAACAACAUAUGGGGAUCGCAGAACACUCCCAUUCCACGAUUUUACAACAUAUGCUUCACAACACGUUAUAAAUACAUGGUUGUACCGAGCUGUAGAGAGACAGCCAGCACGUCCCAACUACAAAUGCACACUAGCCAACAGCAAACAUAAAAACUACUCUCUGGUAAGUCACUAUAUAUACGCACUAUAGCUUCACAUGACUAAAAUUAUAACAUGACAUAAUUUCUUUCGUAUAAAUUAGCCCCAGGAAGCUUCUGUCCGAAUCGCCAUCUUGGGAGCAAUAAAUAUACUGGCAUUCUUCACAAUGGAUGCAUUAUUUACAUAUAUAUACUUCUUCUCCAACCACGUUCUACCAAGAUUGCUCGGCCUUGCCAUCACCUGCAUUGCUUCUUUUUCUAGGCAUAAACAGACAGAGACAGGAAAAUGGAAACCAAAAAUAUGUAAAAGGAAUUUCUGUUAGAAGUCCACGACACGAUACCUUUUUCUCUUGCUUUUGUCUGAUGAGGAUGAAGCAGGAUUGCUGUGCCAGUUCCGUUUACGUUGGUUGAUAAACCAAUUAUUGAUCUGUUUUAGUUGCAACCCUGUUUCCUGCACCAAGCGAGCCUUGUCCUCCUCCUAUAAAGGUUAAGAAACAUGAGCAUCAGUGGUAGAAAAGGAAAUGCAGGAAGGCCUGAUAAUGGUAUCUGUGAGCUGACAUACAGUUGGGUAUGGCCAUUUAGAGUGAGCCUGCCACCAUGCUUUCAAAGUAGACGCUGUAUCUCCUGGGAGUUUUCCAGCUCUUCGCUUUCGGAGUAUCUCUUCCCUAAUGUCCACAAGCUUUUCUCUGUACCCCUGGAAAUUUGAAAUUUCGUUUAAAGUUUAUACAACAACAUACAAACGACUAAAAAUUCAGGCCAUAAUCUUACCUGUUUAAGCUCAUGUUUCAGCUCUUGCCGUACACGCUCAACUAAUGAUCUCUCGCCCUCCGUCAGCAUUAAGGGGCCAAAGCCCAUACCAUCUGAUCCAUCAUUUCCAUCAAACAUGUUGCUCUCACUAUCAACCUGAUUGUCUUCGUCAUCAGACAUAGUUGCUCCAGAACCUUCACGAGGAGAUGCCCCUGCAGUAAGAGUCACAACUGAGGAUUGGCAAAACACCAGAUUAUUGGUCAAAUUUUACUUCUGUAUUCCCUUUUGCCAUUAGGAGAGUAGUCCUAUGUCCAUCACUAAAGUUCUCCCAAACAGAACACUCAUUAUUUUCUGCAGGUUCAACCACAGGUAUAUCUCAAUUCCGAUUGAAGAAUGUAAACUAUAUUUGGUAGAGUGAAGGAAGCUAGUUAAAUGCUAUGUGAUUAUGAUGGUUGAAAAGGUGGAAUUAGUUUGUACUUUUUUGUACCUACAAAGGAGUAAACUUUGAGGUCAAGUUUAUAUCGGAGAAGGAAAAAAAUGGACGAAAGGUAGCACAAUGGUGCACAUCAGCAUGAAUUAAACAGAGAGAAAUAAUAACUUUAAGUUUCUCUUCCUAAAAUCAGGAGUCCACUAUUCUCAUGUUGAAUAAUAUCAACUAGAUUUUUUUGUGCUACCUGUAAGGCUCUGUAAAGUUUGUUCAAGUUCCCAGCAAGCCAUUACUGCUUCCAUUGCAUGAACACGCACAUGUUGCUGUAGUUGUUCCUUGAACGAACAAAGGAGCAAUACAUAAUGGGUCUGCAAGAAAAAAAAACAUUUUUUUAUUAAGUAAAAAAAAUUGCCUUAGGAAGAUUGUCAUUUCCAAGCAAAGAAGAGUACCUGAUAAACAAAAUGACUUUUUAAAAAAGAGGCAACUGAUCAUAAACUUAGCUAACAGAAAUUGUAUGCAAGAAACAAUAUUAAUUGAUACCAUGUUCCCUUUAGCUUAUUCACCGGAUUACUGAAAACGGAUUAUUUGCUCCAUGCUUCAAAAGAAGUAUUUUCUCAAAAAAUCUUUCUUCUAGUAUAUUACUUACUUAGACCACUUGUUUUAACCUAUUUGUUAAGUUUAUUUAUUGAAAUAUUUAAUGUAUCCCUAUGACGAAGGACAUAAUCCACAGCAAUAAUACACUCAAUAAUCUAAAUCAAACAAGGACUAGAUAAUGGAAGUAUAACUUAGAGCUUCUUCAACAACUAGCCAACUAGGGAUGCAAACAAACACCAAGGAAUGAGAAAUAAGUGAUGAAUUUUAGCAUAUUCAAUUCAAAGGACUAUAUUUCAAAAACGAUGGUCGGAACCAUUGCUACUCCGACAAAAUCAAUCCAACCCUUCCAAAAGUCAAAAUUUUGGUGAUGUUUUUUCUACAGGGUUCCUUCUUUGUGGACCGCUCUGUUGUACACUUGUACUGUACAUACUUCUGCUGCUUCUUAAUGAAAUGAAGCUUGAGUUUUCGAGAAUUAUUUUUUUCCUUCCAAAUUUCACUCCUAAUUCCACUAGCCAAUUUCUUGUAAAUACUCUCUCCUCCUUAAUAUAACACCAGCUUAUCCUGGCUUCGGUUUCAAAAAAAAAAAGCCAAUUUCAUUUCCCUUUCCAGCCCCAAUUUUCGAUAUCGCUCAUCCAGAAUAAUAUUUCACAUACCAAUCGUACAAGAAACUCUCACGCGAGGAGAAUUUGAUCGCAAAAGCGAUACAGAGACACACCACGCAAACCUCAUAGCUUGGCAAAAAUAAGAGUAAAACGCCCUGGAGAAAGAGAGGGGGGGAUUUGAUUGGCGCUACUACUACUACUACUACUAAUAAUAAUUUAGCCCUCACCAUGAAGAGGUCGAGCUCCUCGCCGCCGGACGGCGCCCCUCCGGCCGCCGCGGCCGCCGCUGCGGCCGUGGCGGCGGCCAGCGGCGGGGGGCGCGCCGCAAUCUGCGCGUCGAUGCGGGGCAGCUGGUCGACGGGGGUGGCGACGCGGAGGCACGCGACGUGCGCCUCCAGCAGCCGCUCGUACAGCGGGUGCGCCGCGAUGGCGGCCUUCUCCCGCUCCCACCCUCCUCCUCCUCCUCCCCCCACAACUCCUCCCGCCCCGACGAACCCAGGGUGGUGGUGGCCGCCCGUCUCCGCCGCCGCAGCCGCGGCGUCCAUCGCCAGCGCGUGGUCCUGGUAGUGGAACGCCAUCACGCGCACCGCUGCUGCUGCUGCAGCGCGCGAGGUGGAGGAGGAAGACGAAGACGAGGACGAGGACGAGGACUUGUUGUUGUAGCAGUUGGGAGGGAGGGAGGGAGUGAGUCGGGAGGCUCCUCUAACUUGUGUCACUAACAUAUGGGCCCUCUAUUUAAUGGGCCCAUAUAUCGGUGACUCAGAGUUAGAGGGAAGUAAGUCAGAGGAUCUUCUUCGGGAGUGGGAGGGGACCGUAGAGGAGCGAUGGGAAUAGGAGGAGCCCAUUUCAGUUUUGCGCGUGCACGUGACUCAUUUGCAAAUCGCAGGAGUAAAUUGCACCGUACUCCUCCCUCUAUCAGAAAAAUAAAGAAAAAAAAAUCAAAAAUCAAAUUUUGGGGGAGGAAUCUAGACUCCGUGUAAAUUACUCGAUCGGUUUCUUAAUAUAAGUUGUUUGAUUUUUUUUUCUAAGUUAUAAACUUCAUUAAGUUUGCUUAAAUUUGUUGAAGGAUUUAACAAUAUCUAAAAUGUAAAUUUAGUUUUGUUAAAUUAACAUUGAAUAUAGUUUGAUAAUAUAUUUGUUUUGUGUUGAAAAUGCUACUAUAUUUUUUCUAUAUAUUUGAUCAAAUAUAAAAAAGUUUGACAAAAAAAAAAAGUCAAGCGACAUAUGAGUUGUAGUUCGUUUUAUUAGCGUUACUAGUACUACUUAGUUGUGCCUAGAAAUUGAAAAAAUCCUUUAUUUCGAGUAUAGGAUCAGGCGUGCACACACCACACUCACACGUAUUUACGGGGAUAUGUUCUAGUAGCUCAUGCUUGAACGGGAUUGGAACUAUUACCCCACGGAGUGAAGGUGUGCAUUAGACGCUCACAGCGCGGGCACCCACCUUCACGAAGUCACAUAUUACAUCCUACUCUCCUAUAAGUACUCACCAUUCUCGUAAAAAAUCAACUAGUAUUAGAUACGACCUAGUACUACAAAUUUGGAUUUAUUUAUGUCCGUACUAGAAUGUAUCACAUUCAGUCCUAUAUUCGCUUUUUUUUGGACGGAGAGAGUACAUUUGAAUAGCUGGACUGGGAUAUCCUGGUAUUGAUGAAGUUACCAUGAAUGUUUUGUUAUCCUCUACCACUGAAAGAAUAAUUAAUAGUUAAUACGAGCACAAUCUGAUUAGACAUAUUCCAACCUAAAAAUCUAAUCAGUUUAACUAUGCUUACUUCGCUGGUAUGCAUUUUAUGUAGUACUCCUAAGAGAUUUUAUGGUAAAACUAAGACGGUUUCAAAAUAAAUUCGCGUGCACGGUGUACGUGAUUUCUCCAAAAUUUAUUUCGGCGCUGUAAGGACUUUGCAACGGUGUUAUUUUGAGAAAAUAAAUAAAUAUUGGAAUUGCACUUAUUCAUAUAAAAAUUAUAAACUAUCGUACCCUCUGCAGUGACUUUGAACGUGAAGGUGGUUUCUAUAGUAAAAUCUCUCACAUCAGCGAAGGACGCAUCAUUUUCUCAAUAAAUAAUACAGAGAAUGAACUGUAUAGUACGACGAUGAUGAUUCCCAAUUAAGCGCUGAAAUUUCCAGUUAACCAACCGAUUGAUGAUUCAUGGUUGCUGGGCGUUAGGGCACUACGGUAUCAUCAGACUUAUUUUAUUUCCUUCUCAAACUUAAUAGUGGCGUCCACAUCUCACAAACACAGCUCUUCAGUAUAUAGAUCAGAGAUGUGCCUGAACACCUGCACAAAUUAACCCAAGCUCCAACAGCUUGUGUUUUCUUCUUUGAAAAAUAACAGCUUAUGAUUUCAAGAUUAUUAAACAUGUGUAAACACUGGGGCAAGAUAUGUUGAUAUAUGAUCUGUUGAGCCACAGUUGAUAAGACUGAAAAGAAGAUAAACAAAGCAACUAAAAUUAUGAAUAUAACCCUUAUACAUGUACAGUAUUAUUUAUGCCAUAAAAGUUGAGGCUAGGAAAUAUACCAUGAUAAUAAAAUUCAAAAUCAACUGUAAAAUUAAAUUCAAAAUUUAAUAUUUGGAUGUGACUAAUAAACCAACAAUCAGAUGAUGAAAACAAUAGCUCUAAGUUUUUUUUCGAUGUGACUAAUAAACCAACAAACAAUUUUUCGGGACAAAACCUAAGGCUGAAAAAUAUGGUAAGACGAGAAAACUCAAAAUCAGCUUUAAAACCAAAAUCACAAUUUAAAUUUUAGAUGUGGCUAACAAGUACUAAUAGACAAUAAUACUAUCUCCGUUUUUAAUAGAUGACGCUGUUGACUUUUUAUCACAUGUUUGACCAUUCGUCUUAUUCAAAAAAUUUACGUAAUUAUAAUUUAUUUUGUUAUGAGUUGUUUUAUUACUUAUAGUACUUUAAAUGUGAUUUAUAUCUUAUACAUUUGCAUAAAAUUUUUGAAUAAAAUGAAUGGUCAAAUAUGUGAGAAAAAGUCAACGGCAUUAUCUAUUAUAAAACGGAGGGAAUAAGAACUAACAAACUUUUCAUACAGUGGACUUGUCCACUUUUGUUUCUUUUAACAAGUUGGUCUGAAUCUUUGCCGCUAUCUACUUGAGGGUAAAAAGCACAGUGGAUGGCAGUGGGAAUGGAAAUGUGAUAUUUUCCGUGACCGGAAGGAAAAAGCAGGGACAGCGACGAGGAACGAAAGAUGGACCACGCGAGUGGGCCCCACCUCUCGCACAAUAAACGCCCUGCCUGUCCAAUAGGACAUGGACGCGUCACCGCCGAUUUCUGUGGAGAUCGCCAUGCCAUGAUGCUUAGGACAUCCACAAUGUACUACAGAAGUGGUCUAUAGGGAAUAAACUAUUUUAUUCAGCCACUUAGUAACAUUAUGCAACUAGUCCAUAUAAAGAAAAUAGCAAAAGGUAUCCAUAUGCAUAUGGACUACCCAUAUGACAUAAAUAAUAUUAUCUAUCUCUACUUCUCUCUCUUCUCCUAAUAUUACAUUGUAUCCAUAUACAUUGUGAGGAUUGCUAUAGUUAAAGUUUAUUUAUAUGGGUCCCAUCUAUAUAGACCACUUUUGCCAUAUACAUUGGUGAUGUCCUUAAUGAUGAGCCAUUUGGCCGGAUUUUAUAAUUAAGUAUAUGUCGUAUAUAGGGGUGGAUUUGCAAAUAUACCGAUAAGAACUAGUACUCCCUCCGUCACGUUAAUGUGCAGCCAUAAUUUUUCGUGCACAGUUUCGACCGCCUGUCUUAUUUAAAUUUUUUUUAAAAAAAUUUAAAACUUAAGUCACGUAUAAAAUACUAUUCAUAUUUUAUCAUCUCAUAACAACAAAAAUGCUAAGUUUAUUUUUUUUUAAAUAAGAUAGACGAUCAAAGUUGGGCAUAGAAAUUUAUGGUUGCACUUAAAAUGGGACGGAGGGGGUAUACCGUAACAGUUGGUAGCGGAAGACUUUUGAUUUGCAAACAUGCAGAGAAAACAUAUGAUUCGGGUGCCUUGUCACUUGAAAUCCUAUGGAUAUAAAAAUACAUGAAAAUAAUAGGAUCUAGAUGGAGCGAGGGAAUAUAUAUGAAUAUAAGAAAAAAAGAGAUUACAUAAAGGAUUUUCCCUCUAAAAGAUUGUAUUGAUUUAUGAAACCUAAGAAUUUUCAAAUAAAUUUGAGAGAGACAUUCCUUUGUUCAAAGGACCAUAAAAAAGUUCUUCGAAUCCAAUCACAAAAUUACUUUGUUUCAAAUGAGCCUAAGGGUACACUAUCAGUAGAUUACAAUCUUAGCAAAUAAAAUUUACUAUAGGACACCUACACUUUGUGAUCUUCACUUAUGAUAUCGUAAGAACGUGACACUAUUAUUGGAAAAAACAAAUCUAAUAAUUAGUUACGAGACAACGAAGCCAUUAUUUUUAUUAUAUCUAGUGUGAAUUUCACACUGUGAAAGGAGCGGCACAUUGUUACUAAAUUAGAAUCUACCCCUCCAUUUCACAUUGGAAGUCAUUUUAGUUUUUUUCAUAAGUUAUAAAUUUCUAACUUCGAUCGAGUUUAAUGAAGAAUUUUUUUAUUAAACACACCUUACAAAUUUCUAACUUGAUAGUGUAUUUAUUUGUUAUUGUAGAUGUCACUGUAUUUUUUCUCUAAACUCAGUCGUAGCUAAAGAAGUUUAAGUUAUGACAACUAGAAUGAUUUGCAGCAUGCAUGGAGUGGAACGAAGGGAGUAUGGAUUAUCAUGGGUACAAUUCCAAGCAUAUUUUUAAAGAAAAACCAUCUUUAUCAGUAUUUCGGGCAUGUACUUUUUUUAAACAAAUUUCACGAACGCCUAAAGCUUCCAUGUUAAUACCAUUUAGGCUUUAGGCUGUGUUCGCUAUUCCCGGUUGGGAACUUGGAACAGUCUGCACAGAAAACGGAGCGGUCCAUUAACACGUGCUUAAUUAAGUAUUAGCUAUUUUUUUUAAAAAGGAUUAGUUUGAUUGUUUUAAGCAACUUUCAUAUAGAAUUUUUUUUGCAAAAAAAACUUACUCCCUCCAUCCCUUAAUAUAAGGGACAUUUUGCUUGCACUGUUUAACCAUUCGUCUUAUUCGAAAAAUUUUAGAAUUAUUAUUUAUUUUUUUGACUUAUUUUAUUGUCUAAAGUACUUUAAGCACAACUUUUUAUUUUUUAUAUUUGCACAAUUUUUUUGAAUAAGACGAGUGAUCAAACAGUGCAAACAAAAUGUCAAAAUCUCUUAUAUUAGGGGGUCGGAGAGAGUACCGUUUAACAAUUAAAAAAGCGUGUACGCGGAAAACGGGAGAGAGGGGUUGGGAGGGGAUUAGUAUACUUGGACUGAAAUGCCAAUCAGCCUAGGCGGGGUGUAAAUGGGCCGGACCAUGAAUCUGUAUCCCGUCGCUUACAUGGCCCACAUAACAUGCAUGCCUUCUUCAUAGGCCUGGUGUGCUAUGACGGCCUUAAGUUGUUCCCUUUUUCGUUUGGAAUAUAAGUUCACUUUAGAUCUCUCAAUUUAUCGCCGAAUCUGAAAUCAGUCCCUGCAUCGCAAUACCAGAUAUAAUGUGUUUCUUAACUCUUAAAACCAAUGUGCAAACAAGAUCUUAAGGCCAUUUGGACGGUGGUUUCAGCUGAUGUGACACUUAAAGUAAGAAAAAUAUCGUGGGACCACAUCUAACUACUAGGGCUGUUAAAAAAAGCUCGAGGCUCGCGAGCUGCUCGAGCUCGACUCGUCCUAUGCUCGAUUUGAGCUCGGCUCGAGCUCCAAACGAGCCGAGCCUGAGCCUGUCCCAAAGCUCGCGAGCUUUGUCGAGCCGAGCUCGAGCUUCUAAUAAGCCUAGUAAUAUAUGAUUUUUUAUUGCUAUUUAAUAAAUUGGUAGAUGAAAUAUGUUAUUUGUAUGCCUUGUAUUGGCAUCAUAUAUUUAUUUUAUUCCUUUUCCUCUUCUACUAAUAUGAUAAACCAUAAAUUAAUUAUUUUUAAAAGAAUAUUCUUUAAAAUAUACAUUGUUCUAAUUAAAAAUCAAGCUCGGUAGUCGAGCUCGAGCUUGAUCUAGCUCGAACCGAGCCUGUUUAAAAGCUCGAACAUUUUAUAGGCUCGGCUCUAGCUUGUAUUGAGCUCGAGCCUAGGCAAGCGAGCUCGCUCAAGCUCGGCUCGUUGACAGCCCUACUAACCACCCCUUCUCUUUCCCUUUCUUCUCCCUCCUGGUUUUACCUUUCUUCUCACCGCACGAACGACGGAUAGGGUCCAAGUGGGCGUUCGUGCGAUGAGAAGAAAGGGAAGACCAGAAGAGAGAAGAAAGGGGAAAGAGAAGGGGUGCUUACAUGUUGCCUCACGGAUUUUUUUUCUGACUUUAAGUGCCACGUCAACACCACGUAGUUGUCACGUCAGCUGAAACCAUCAUCAAAACCAUCUUCGGAUCGUAUUUGCACUGGUUUUAGAAGUUGAGGGACACAUUCUAUUUGGUAUUGCGUUGCAGGGAUGAAUUGCAAACUCGACGGCAAAUGAGGGAUGUACAGUAAACUUGUUCAUUUCCAUUUUUGGCCUUCACCCGGUUGAGUGGAUAUGGGCCUUGGCUCGUUUUUCUUUUUGUCUUUUUGAGAGUGAUGCAGUAAGCUCACAGUUCACUUGACCGUCAGUAGCCAGGAUAUGGAUAUGGAGGCUACAUCGGAGAUUUGCCUUAAUCAACAUCAUUUUUUUUCUUUCCUUUUAGCGCAAAUACAAGUUUUCCUCUUUUUUCCCCCUCCUACUAUAUUAGAUCAAGCGACACGUUCACAUCUGCAGUUGGAAUCAGUGAACAGUUGAAUUCAACGUUCACAAUGAUUUGCACCUGACCAUGCUCUUUUUUUCUUGGAAAAGAAAGUAUAACUUUAACUAAGAGUGUGUUUAGUUCACGCUAAAAUUGAAAUUUUGGUUGAAAUUGGAACGAUGUGACAGAAAAGUUAAAAGUUUGUGUGUGUAGAAAAGUUUUGAUGUGAUAGAAAAGUUGGAAGUUUGAAAAAAAAAUUUAGAACUAAACUCGGCCUAACUAAAAAUAUUGUGGAUUAAAAUUUGGAGUGUAGUUAUGCACUUAUCACCAAUACACCAAUGGUGAAACCGUGCUCAUAUAAAAUAAUAAUAAUAUAUUUCAGUCUAAAAUAUAAUUAUUUUUAGCCAUAUAUCUGGGCAAACACUUAUCUACUUCGUCCCAAAAUACACUCCUCUAGUUUAGGAGAGACAAACACUUAUCUACUCACUCCCUGCACUUCCUUUAGGAUGAAUGGAGUAGUGUCUCAGGAGUGCUAGGGACAUUUCGAGUGCACUUACUUUAGGAUGAAUGGAGUAGUGCUAGGGACAUUUCCGAGAGUACCAUGAGCUGAGCUGUGCAGCUAAUGUGACAGAUGCAACCCGUUUUGUAAUCAGCCGUGAACAAGACAGUAGGACUCUACAAACAGCCAAAGAUUCACACCAACAUUGAACAGAAUAAACAAAAGAACAUUGAGAUAGUUCUUCCCUAACUUACAGUGCUUAGAUGAACAACCAAGCUACACUGUCCGGAGCUUGUACUACUAAAGUAAAAUCUUCCCUCUGCCUCAUCGACACACAAGGCCAGGGUAAAUAAAAACUACUAUAACUCUAUCAGACAAAGCAAGGUAAACCGAUCCUCCUUUCUGCUCCUAAAAUGGCAUUAGUAAGAUUGGAGGAUCAUAUGACACUGGUGCUAAACUCUAGUAAAUCUGAACAACUUAUCAAACAAGCAUAAGGUAUGGUCCUUAAUUAUCUCCUUUAGCUUCAUCUUGAGUGAGCGAGCGAUCAGAGCCCCUUGUAGCCCAGCUUCCUCUAUAUACAAUUAAAAUUCUUUUGUCUGGUUAGCGACGCCGCGGUAAUAAUCUGGAGCCGUUCAUGCAUCAAGGAGCUGAUCCAUCAGCAGCCAUGUCCUCCACUGGGAGGUUGAGGUCAGGCAGCACGAAGCCGUUUUGAGAUUCCUGCUUGGCUGCGGGCUCAUCAGGCUGCGGCCUUGCUUGCUGCCCCUCGGAUUUCGUUCCGUUUCGUUUGCUUGAUUUCUCUAACCUUGUCUGCAAAAUAGAGGAAAAGAUUGUUAUUAUACAUUUCAGAAAAAAAAGGUUUUAUGAAACAUAAUUUCAGAUGACUGCAGAAGGCAAAUCUCUUAUGAAUCCAUGAGCCCAACAGAGUAGACUUGGAAAGGAAAUUUGGGUUGUAGUCACAAUCUACCUAGCGUAGUUCUUAUAUUUUGGUAAAAGAGACAUCUCUGUGGAGGUGAAAUGGGAGGCAUAAGAGAAAAUGGACAAUGAACAACCACCAUGAGUCCAUGACCAAGCAUAAACAACCUGAAACAGGACUAAGAAGAUCCAAAAUGUUGGCCAUUACCAUGGCUGGACCUAGCUAGAUGUGCUUUAUGCCAGAGGAGACGAAAGACACACGGGAGAGAGAGAAAACAUGCAUGGACCACUCAGCCACCACGAGGCUCUAGAGAUGACACUGCACAACAACGGUGCAGUACAGGUUAACCGGACCAAAUGAAAUGGGGAGAGCUUUGCCCAACCAUUCUGGCUGGUUAGUACACUGUCUGUAUUUUUAAUGUGAUUGUGGAGCACAGAACCAGUGCAGUGGCAGUGUGGCACGCAAGAACUAAGGGCAUUAAAGAAGGCCACGGGAUUACCAUGUCCAGGAUCCGGGUUGGUGUGCAUAGAUUAAGGUCAUGGCCUGGCAACAUGGCGUUCUUUAUUGGGGGAAAGAUUCCAGACAUGUACGGCUGGUUGAAAACGAAGCAUGCAUGAACAGUCAGUAGAACACCUUGUAACUGCAUCAAUUGCGCAGACAAAGUGCAGUAGCUGAACUGCAUCUAUCACCAACUCUACCUUGCCAAAUGCCAAAGGGUUUUUUUGGGGGACGUCACUUUCCUAGCCCUUCCAAACGUGCAAGCAGCUUGAUGGGUGAAGAGGUGGUUGAGAACUUGAGAUUAUUGAGAUGGAUAAACAGGAUAAGAAUUCGAGCUCCUCCCACUUGCUUGCACUUCAUCCCGAAUGCGAAAGUCAAGAAGGCAAUCAACUAAAAUCCUCACUGACACUCCUAUACCUUUACCGUAAAAUUGACAGCUCGGCUACCACCUCACAGUGGCAAACUAUUGUUAUAAGUUACUAACUAUAUAUAGUACACGAACUUGUCACUAACCAUGACUCUUGAGAUGCAGUACUAGUAGAAGGUACAAACAAUAUUGUAUUAGUAGAAGCUAACCGGAGCUUCCAUACAUCGAGAUAGGAGGAGCUAAGCAGCGCAUGUGUUGAGACAGCUCCAGAAGCAAGCAGCGGCCACAUGCAGGCUCCACCCAGCCUAACUGACAAAGAGCUUCCUAUAAGACUAGAAAAAUCCAACUUACCCUAAAUUAACACGACAGACGCUGAGACGCAUGGCCAAGUCCGGACGAUCCACGGUUCAGUUUCAGAUAAGAUAACGAACGUCUAUCGCCACCUCCAGGUCCCAUACCGUGUGACCAUUUGGCUAAGGUGUCACUCUCCUCAGAAUGACACCCUUUCACAACACGACACGCGUCCUGCGGACUAACAAUAGCCCUAGUAUUUACUUCUCUCGCCCCAAAAUAAAAAAAUCUAGUCUGAUCUGUCCAGUAUAGGAUGUGUCAUUUAUAUCCCGUACUAUAUUUCUUUCACUGGUCCUUGGCUACUUGCCACUACCGUGGUACUACCACUAUCUUCUAAGCAGCUCAAGAGAAGAGAGAUACUGCAAGUGUGCCAGUGAUCCUGUCCGGCACUCCGGCCACACAUGCAGUGACACCGCACCUUUCACCGCGCAAAACAAAUACGUGCUCAUGCGGCAAAGCUAACCCCGGGCAGUUCGUGUAUGGUCAAAAAAAGAAAGCAUGGAAAUCGACAUCUAAACCUGCGAAAGGCUUAUCAUCAGCACCGGUUGUCAUCCGUUUUCAAAGGACAAACGGUGGUUGAGAGGGAUGUGGAGUGAAGAUCGCCACCAAACCAAACCAAGCCACACACAUAGCACUCUUCUCCUAGGAAGCCAGGAAGAGCCUAGGACGACGAAGUAAAGCACACACCAAGGAAGAGAGAGAAAAUAUCGAAGGACAGCAUGCAUUCACAAUGCCAGGGGACCACUAGUUCUCCAUUGGGAGGCUCAGGGGAACUCUACUUUUAGCAAGUUGGAAAGUUCUAUCACUUAUGCUUUAAGCUAUACCAACUGAUCAAACAUGCAGAAUUUUUAUUUGGGUUUUAUGAUGAUUGCGCACUCAGCGCCCCAACCUGGAAGCGAUUGCACGCCACAUGUGCACAAAAGAGAAAGAGGAGAAGAUUUGGUUAGAUAGCAGCAUAUGCCACUGACCUCUAGCUUGCAGUUUUCCUUGGACAACGCCGUGCAAGCUCUCUGCAACGCCACCAUCUCCUGUUUUCGGACGAGAAUAUAAACAAGAAACGGAUAAGAAUUCGAGCUAAAUUAACAGCAUAAUCCAAGUGAGAAGUGAAAAUCACGUAAAGGGGAAAGAAGAACUAAUCAACCUCGCGAAGGCCAUCGUUCUCCACCGUCAGCGACCGCACCAGCUGCUGAAUCUCCGGCAGCCUCUGCACACCAUACCGACAAGAAAACCAAGUUUAGGCCAAAUCAAGCCGUAAUAAAAGCCAAGAAACAAACGCGAUCCUUCUUUUUCUACUACUGCCAUCAAAAUUCGAUCUCGUUUCGUCACAGGACCAUCUGGUGAUGAUGAGCGUGGAUCUUUUCGGGCAGGCAGCCUUUGUCCUUAGGAUACCACUUUUGCCUCCCUCACCACGCUCUCUUUCCGGUGGCAGUGGCCGCACCAGCUGCCGCUUUAUUCUAGACUGGGUGACCGACUCCGCAACUAGAAAACAUUUUUUUAAAAAGAAAAACUCCGGCCAUUUGAACAGCCUACCAUCUCCUGCACGCGACUGGCUGAGUCACUGACUCUACUGCUCUGAGACUACUGUGUAGGCCAAAGACUUUCUUUUGCCGGACCUGUGCCGGACCUGUGCAAUCGCGCAAAUGAUGGGGGUGUACUGCUAGUAGUAAGCUGUAACUUGGGAGUACUCGUAGUAACUUCAUUCAUCAAAGCCCAGACCCAAAGCUGCUGCUCUAUCUAUCUACCGUGCUUUUACUGCAGAAAAAUGCAAAGGUGAAACAAAACAAAACCUGACUGCUUUCUUGUACCACUCGUCACUAAACAAAAUGCGCUUUUCCUGUGCUAAGUGCCGGGUCAUAUGUGUGACACUGAGUGAGUGACUGCAGUAGCUUACCAUCUUCUUCCGUGGUCGCUGUCCGGCGGGCCGGGGAGGCGGGGUCGGUAGGAUCAGCUGGCGCCGUCCGGCAGGGCCCACCUGUAAGCGAGAGAAGAGCACGCACGCCAUUAGUUAUACAGUUAUACUACUACUACUAGCACUCAUCAUCACACACCCAGCGAAUACUGUACUGGAAGUAGCUAGUAACGCGCUGCUGGUAGGAUCAAACAACACAACACGGGCCACUAGAGCCAACCAACUACAGUCCAACCAACGCUGCUGCUGCUGCUGCAUUAAGGAGGCGACCGUAGAAAAAGAAAGCAACAGGCAACGCAUGUUCCACCCAAAAGAAUAUUGUUUUCCAGGUGGUAGGAAGGGAAUUAGAUGAGAGAGUCUAGCUUAGCUUAAGCUUGGCUCUAAUGGGGGAAAACAUCACCUAACUAACUCCUACCAAGAUCCCACAAAACUGCCCCUCAUUGUUGCCCUACCCGCAUGAAGCACAUUUCGACAUGAUAGGAGAGAUCAACAACACGCACGCACAAACAAACAAACUGCUCAUCUUGCCAUCUUAUCCACGAUUAAUUAACCAACGGUGCGUGUGCUCCUAAUUUCUGCACCUAUUGUCCAGUAAUGGAAGCAUGGGCUCUCACCUCACCUGUACAUGACGAUGACAGGUGGGCCCCGCACGAGGUUCCUUCCCUCGCAGGGAAAAAGAAUAAAGAAAUAAGCCCAUAUGAAAUUCAGUUUACUCACUUAAAAUUGAGUAUCCGUUUGCCUCCUUUUCCCGCUAGGAUCGGAAAUCCCACCACAGUGUGAGGUGGGGCCCAUCCCACCAGGACACGUCCGCGAGCAAAGAGAGAGAAAAGAACCUGAAACGCCACGCGCCCACGUGGCGCCAGCCAAGUGGCCACGACGUGUUUCGCAUUCGCAUUCGCACACCCACGCAUGCAUGCGUGUCCCGCGCCGCGCCCACACGGCGCGCGCGAGGCGGCCAAUGGGCAGCCGCCACGUGGCGGCGCCACCCCACCCCUCUCUCUUUCUCUUCCAACGGAGAGCGCCGCGUCGGUUUGACUCCUCACUUCCCACGGCAACGAACGCGAUAGAGGAGGUCAGGUCCAGGAUAAGGGCGGGCGAAAUGACCGGAUUGCCCCCGGAAGUUAGGCUCGAGGCGAAUGGGCAGAUUGGGCAAAAGCGGUAAGCCGCGGCUCGUGGUUGGAGACUUGGGAGUGGGAGCCGAACCGGAACCCACCUACCCUUGUGAAUUGCCGCGGCUGCCCCCCUCCGCAAGGUAGGAGUCAACCGCACCAAACAGACACGCUAUGACAUGGUAGUACAAAUCCACCCCAAAAGAAAAAAAAUUCCCCGAAUUCAAAGUGUGAACUGUACAAGCACCCGUAGAGUCAUAGUGCUACUGGUACAACGCAGAGCUCGAGAGUAGCAGUAGUAGCACGGAGGUGGAGAUCCCGAAAUUGUUCGGAGAAGAAGAGGACGAGGAGAUCUGCGAGGUGGGUGAAGUACUAAUAGCCAUGGAGUUUUUACCGAAAUGACCUGGGUGAAAAGGUUGGAGGUGAAAGAAUGGGUAGGCAGCGAAGCUGCGAAGGUGGGAUUAAGAAAAAAGGUCACGCGAACGAAAAGCCGGUGGGACUAGUGGGAGAGAGAGGAAAAGCGAUGUUUCAUCGAGAAGUCAUCCAUCCAUCAUCCUCCUCUCGUUGCUGACACGGAGGGGUAGUUUCGUCAAAAAAAACCCAGACGAGGAACGGAAAGCGAAGCAGCCCAACCGCGAGCGCGAGCUGUGCGGGGGAAGGAACAAACAGGAGAGAGAGAUAGGGAUGCACGCGCGCGCGGCUGGGAGUACGUACCUUGGCCGGAGAAGGGGUGGGCGCGGCCGUGGGCGUAGUCGCCGCCGCCGCCGUCACCACCGGCGGCGGUGGUGGCGGUGGAGAGCAGAAGGCCCCGUCCUCGCCGCCGCUCGUCGACGCGGCGGAGCCGGAGCCGGAGCCGGAGCCGCCGCUGUAGUCGAGGGGAGACGCCGGGCUACCCCUGGCCCACCUCCCCUUGGUCGCCGCCGACCCCGACCCCGACGGCGAGCGGCGCCGCGACGACCGCGACCGCUUCCCCCGUGCCACCGUCGGCCACGCCAGCUCCUCCUCCUCCUCCUCCACCACCACCUCCUUCCCCUUCGCGGCAGCCGUCCCCCACGGCGGCGUCCACCCGGCGAGGUCGGCCCCGCGGAGCGAGCAGAUGAUGUCCGCCGCCGCGGCCACCGCGCACGCCUCAGCGUCGGCCGCGGUCAUGGGAGCAGCUUCCCUUCGACGAGUCGAGUCGAGACGAACCCUAGAGAAGAAGCCGCCAAAGCGGAGGAGGCGUGGAAGCGAGAGGGAGAUGUGGAGAGAGAGAGAGGAGGAAGGCGAGGGAGAGAUGUGGGAAUGGUGGGGGAGGAGCGAGGAGGAAAUGAGGGGGGCGUGGAGGCGAACCGAGCCCACGGCGUGGCGUCCGGGUUUUUAAACGCGCGGAAUAAAAGCCCACAUAUGGCCAAUAAAAUAAUCCAUUCCCACCACUAGUACUACUCACCACCACCUGUACAUGGCACACGACGCGCCGCGAGACCCUUCCUUCCUCUCCCAUCCCACCCCCACUUACACGUGGGGCCCACCAGCCGGGCCCCAUACGUCAGUGACCGGGUACCCCGCGUGCGUGGGUGGUGGCGGGACGCCAAACCUUGGACGCAGUGGGGCCCAGUGAACCCUUUCCGCCCUUUCGCGCACUGUGCCGGAUAGGAAAGGACGUUUCUAUCCUUUAGUGGGUCCCAUCUGUCGGUGAGUGGAGGUGCAGGGGUCAGUUUGGUAAAAGUGAGGCGUAGUACGCAAGGUAAGGUGGCAGUAGCCUUGGCUGGGGUUUCCGUGUGGUGACGGGUGUGUGCUAUAAAAGCGGCUGCCGGUGGCGGCGAAAAAAAAAAAAGAAAAAUGCCACUGGAUUUGUUUCCCCAUUUUUUCUUUGUUUCGAAAAAAAAAUCGUUUUCCGGAGACGUGCGGCGAGUCGGGUUUUUGUUCGUGUCAAGAUUUUAUUUUUCUCUUUCUCUUGGAUAUAAUAACUGCUUCUGUUCCUGUCGACUUCGGUACGGUAGAGACCAACCAGUGACCGGUUGCUUGUGCAUCCAUCUCGCUGGUUUUGGGACUGGAACGAAUACAACGAAAAUCAUGAGGUGAGUGGUGUUGUGGAUCAUGCUGGAGUACAGUUGGAUGCAGAUAAGAUAAGACGCUCUGUUUUCAUGUGGGAUUUCGGCUGAUUAAACGUGUGUGUUUGUUGCUACUCCUAUGUAUUUUUUGUGGAGUUUAUAGCUAUAAACCAUUCCGCCCAUCCUAAAAUAUAACUAUAUAAGCACUUCAAAAAAUUUACAUACUUUUUUACAUUAGUUAAAAGGAGAGGUGAAAUUAAAUGAUGUAUGGUUGUGAUUGGUUUUAAUGAAUAAGUAGGUAAAGAAAUUAAAUAAGAUAUAGUUGCGAAUGUCAACGAGUAGAUGGGGAAGUUGUCAUAUUUUGAAACAAAAUUUGAAUGAUAAUAUGUUGAGACAAAGAUAGUAACACAAUACUGUUAGACAAACUAGCAAUUAUUAACUUCGUUAUGAAAUAUAAGGUAUUUUGGCUAUCUAUUUGUAUUGCCAAAAUCCUUUAUGCCGUGGGACAGAUAGAUGUGAUAUAGGAUUCAUGACUAUGAGAAACGCCCAGGGGUCUUCCGUCUAGCUCCAAAAGGUGGUGGGCUAGACGACCUGGAUUCGAAGCCUCACUCCUUCUAAUUAUUUGAUAUUAGAUAUUUUCCUAAUAUUCGCGUUUUUUUUGAUUCAUGAAUAUAAUUCACCAAAGUUUCAUGCUUACAAUACUAUUUGAUGCAGUAAUUUGUCAUCUUUUAAGCAUAUAUAUAUUUUUAAAAAAGACGAGUAGUCAAUGUUUGAAAAUAAAAGGCUUCCCUGACAAUUACUCCCACUAUUCCCAAAUACAUGUCACGGUUGGGCACCACGAUUUUAAGCUUAACCACCAAUGUUUUAAACUAAUUAAACUACGAUUAAGGAAAGCUUAAAACUCAUGUUUAGAAUGCAACACUUCGAUGAUACCAUGUCUUUCAAGUAUUUAUAAUUUCUUGAACAAAAUGGCAAGUGAUAAAAUCUAAAUACGAACAAUGAUAAAUACUUGAAAACGGACCGAAUAUUUAAAAACGGGUGGCCUAUCAUACAGUACGUGUGGUACAUACGAUUUGAGCGGCUUCUUCUCCAGUUCUCGAUUUUUAGCUUUUUGAUACUUUCUACUACUAGUAGUACUAAGUACUAUAGCUUGGUGAUGUACCCCACUGUGCAUGCCGUGUUGUCGUGACAGUGCUAGUGUGUGGUGUCCAGCACUGCAGAGCGGUCUCGACGCGACUCUCGCGUAUGUACGUGGAGGGUAUUCUCCCCGCACAGCUAACUCCGGAUAGUUGCCGGUCGAAGCGACUGUUAUUAUGGUUCAGGACUUGCCGUUUGCCCUGAAAUUAGGCGUGUGGAGCUGUAUUUUUUUUAAAAAAAAAUUGAUCAUGUUUGUACAGUAUUAGAGUAUCUUCAGCGAUAAUUUCUAUUUUAAAACUCCUAUAAUUUAAAUAGGGCUGCUCUCAUUUCUUCGGUCCAAACAAUGUCCUCAACUUGUGCACACUACUGGCUGCAGGCGGCGGCGGCCGUGGACUCGUUUGAGAUGUAUAAUUUCUUUUUUUGAGAAUUUAUGAUUCAGUGUAUGGAUUCAAUCUGAGAUAUAUUUGAUUUGUGCUAUAUUUUUAGGAUUUAUGAUGUGAAUAUAUGAUUUGAGAUGUUAUGCUUUGAUUUGAGGAUUUGGGGUUUGAUUGGGAUAUGCAUCCCAUCCGAUUUGGGAGAAAAUUGAAGGAAAAAUCAUCUAGCAAAAAACAAUGAAAAAAGAAAAGAAAAGGUGGCAACCGAGAUUGCCGUUGUUUUCCUCUUUAGUCCCGGUUGGAGUUACCAACCGGAUCUUUAGUCCCGGUUAUUUCACCCGGGACUAAAGAUACCAACCGGGACAACAGUAGGUUCCCAACCGGUGACAAAGAUGGGUUCCCAACAGUGGCAGUAGUCUCCAUUUAUUAGCCCCUAUUUAUUUUCUCAUUUAUUUCAAUAUACACUCUAUAUUUAUGAUUAGUUUAGCCCACAACAAUUCAAAAAUAAAUAUUUCUAAUUCAUAUAAUUCAACAGUAUUUAAAUUCACAAUUUAAAUUCAAAUUCAAAAUUUAAUGUUUAAUGUAGUGCAUAAUCAAGAUUAUACUAUUUAACAGAUCAAAGCAUUCACCAAGAUUCUGGACUAAACAUGAAGUCCGAUCGAAAACUAAACAAAAAGAAUACAACCGUAUCACUGAACCGCGGUGAACUGCUUAUACCGAGAGCCUGUUCAGCAUAGCUCCAGCUCUAGCUCCACCUAAAAUAGGAGCGGAGCUAGGUGUAGCUCUCACAAAAUAAACUAAAGAAAUGGAAUUGGGUUUAGAUAGCUCCACAACUCCACUUCAGAUAAAAUUUAGGAGUUGGAGCUCUAUCGAACAUGCCCUAAAACACCACAACUAAAAUUAAACCGUAGUGAUCCUACUGUCCUACACUCCUACUGGUAGAAGACACAUUAAACAGCAGAGUGAGAAUUACUAACACAUAGAGGCUCCAAAUGCCAAAUUUUUUAACCGUGGAAAUGGCAUAUCCUAAAUAACAAAUAACUUAUAGAAUCCAACGUAUUCCAUCAAAAUAAAAAAAAAGCAUCCGAGAGCUCAAACUUCACCAUUACUAUCAUCACCACCAUCAAACUCUCGCUUGGUGGGAUAUUACACCGUUCCUUCCAAUUGUGGAUGGGGCCGGGGCUGGAGUUGGCCCCUAAGACUUAUUAGGGAUUUUGGGUGAGUGAUUUGGGUGCCUCCCUUAUGUCUAAUAGGGAUCUUGUUGGAUUUGAAGUUUUAACCUCUACCCUAAAAGAAUUGUUUGGGGCCGUGUUUAGGGUCUCUACCAUUAAAAAGAAUAAAAACAAUGCAACUAAAAGUAUUCCUAGCAUAUAUAUCUCUUUGUCCUAUAUCUCUAACUACGAACUUAGACAAGUAUAUCUAGGUUCAUAGUUAGGAUUUGUCUUUUUAGGACAAAAUAGUACUCCCUCCGUCCUAAAUAUAACAAUUUUUAGCCCUCAGGAUUUAUCCCAAAAUAUAACUUCUUCACCAACAUUCUCUUCACAACCAAUCAUAACCCUCCACCAUUCACUUUUCUCACAUAUCUCCAGUAUCACAACCCUCCACCACUUACUUCUACCUACUUUAUUAGUAACCGUGUUCAAUCUUAAAACUUCUUAUAUUAUGUGAAGGAUGGAGUAACUUUUAUACUGAGUGGUUUAAAAGCUAAGAUUGAAUAUAGAAAGCAAUAAUAAAAACAUCUGGAUUAAUUUAAAAUUUUUAUGGCCACCGAGAGAUCGUCGUGUACACAAUCAACGACCACUUCACAAUCUCGGAAUAUUAUUGUACAAGACAAUGUUUGAAAAUUGUGGGAGCCAUGCAUCAUGACCACGCAUGUGCUUUUGUGUACGUACGUGCAUACUCUAAAGAACAGUGAUCGGCAAAUCUAUGGCCAUUUCUAAUCAAAGAUACUAUAAAUAGUUUCCAUAAAUUUCAUAUCAUCAAAAAAAAAACUAGUAUUAGACAAUUCUCUUCCAAUACAAACACCAUUAUUUCAUACUUAAAUUUAAUACCACCUAUCUCAGAUGAUGUCUUGGAUGUUGUGUAAAAACCAUGUCUUAUGCAAGACAUGAUUUCAUUCUCUUUCCUCAUUUAUUCACUUGCCACAUUAUUUUUCAUUCUAGGUGGCAGCUAAUGCUAUGGACAUCAUCUUAAUUAUUGGGUUGGAAAUGACAUAAGAUACCGUCAGUUGUAAUUUUUGAAAAAAACUUGGCUGAUUGAUUGGAUGGCCACUAAUAAAUGCACCAGCUUCCCGUACGUGAUAUUUACUCCUGUACAACGGCGAAAGUGAAAAACGAAUGACUAAGGAAAGAAAAAUAUUUACAUGUAUAGGAGGAUUGGUGCAUGCCGGGCAAAUGUCAUUACUGUGACUUUUUUUUUGACACGAUGUCAUUAUGACUUAUUGUGACUGUGAUAGUACUAAUUCCGAACUAUUUCUUUAUCUAAAAAAUAUUGCCACUUGACAAGAUACUACUACCUCUGUCCCAAAAUAAGUGUAGCCAUGGAUAUCCAUGCCCAACAUUUGACCGUCCGUUUUAUUUGAAAAAUUUAUAAAAAAUUUAAAAAUAUUUAGUCACACAUAAAGUAUUAUUCAUGUUUUAUUAUUUAAUAGCAAUAAAAAUACUAAUCAUAAAAAAAUUUCAAACAAGACGAACGGUCAAACGUUAAACGUGAAUAGUGCAAAACUAUACUUAUUUUGGGACGGAGGGAGUAUAUAUAAUCAAGGUAGUUGCAUUUUACGCCAUGUUUUUUUGUUUCCAAGGUUGGCCAAGUUGAAAUUUGAGAUGAGGCAAAAGCCUUCCUGCCAGUCUAAGGCGCUGCUUAAGGGAGUUUAAGAUUUUGAGAAUAUGCUCGUUGGUAGUCAGCUUUUGAGAAUUUGAAGAAGCUGGGUUUUCCAGCUUUUGGAUUCUAGUACAUUUUCUGUAUUAUACAACUACAGAUUCUAAGAAUCUAGGUGACAAUCUAAACUGUUUAGAGAAGCUGGAGAUUAUGUGAGAAGCUGCGGCUGCUAGAAGCUGCUCCAAACAUGCCCUAAAACCGGUGUGUAUGUUGUUGGUCCACUCUAUUGAGAGGGACGUAUGCCCGGACAACAGAAGGGACUGUAUACUUGUUUUGUGGGUAAUCCCAACCAGAAUGGCAUAAGCCUGAUUCUCAGAAAUCAGAACCAACUUCAGAACCUUGGGCCUUCUCCAUUCCAUUUCACACCAACUUACUUAGAGCAUCUCCAACAGUCUCUCUAAAUUGGACUCUCCAAACAUCUAUAUAGCUAGCUCUCCAAUUGAUUUGGCAAGCCAAACUUAUUCCUCACUCCAACAACCUCUCCAUCUACACUCCCCAUUAUGAGCCUAUGACACUGGGACCCGCACGUCAGCCUCUAUUACUCAUGGCUGUGUAGGAGGCGGCAUCCUUGUGCGCCAUUUCGUCGAACAGGUUGCAGGCAGGCCGCGUCGGCAUGCCUGGGCGUGUAUUUGGUAGGCCAAGCGGGCCAGCAGCGGAGGGCGGAGCAGGCGAGCUCGUCGGCGGCGGCGGCGGUGGCUGGGUGGAUGGCGAGAGCGCGGCGGCCCUGGAGGAGGCAGAGCAACGGAGGCACAUAUCAAUCGAUCGGUGGGCGGCCAGGCGGGGGAGGACGCUGACGGGGAGUAGGAGGGCACCGGCGCAGGAAGGGGAGGGGACAGGGGAGCACGCGGUGGAGGUGGAGCGCACGGCGGAGGAGCGUGGCCACCAUGGGUGGGGAGGCGAGGCGAGAGGAGAGGAGAGGGGAGGGGGAUGACGACACGGCGGCCUCGGCAGUGGACGACGACGCGGCGGAGGGGCAGCGCCGGCGGAGGGACGCGACGGAGGGAGCGACGCCGGUUGUGGUUGGGGACGGAGGCCGCGGUGGAUGCGGCAGCGCCGGACUUGGUCAGGGACAGAGGCGGCGACGCCGGUUGUGGCUGGGGACGGAGGCGGCGGCGGACGGCGGUGCCGCAUGUGGCCGGGGACGGAAGCGGUGACGCCGGUUGUGGCUGGGACGGAGGCGGGGGUGGAUGCAGCGGCGCCGGACUUGGUCGGGGACGGAGGCGGCGACGCCGGUUGUGGCUGGGGACGGAGGCGGCAGUGGACGCGGCGGUGCCGGUUGUGGCCGGGGACGGAGGCGGCGGUGCCGGAUGUGGACACGGACGGAGGCGACGGCGGCGGUUGUGGCCGGGGACGGAGGCAGUGGCGAUGGGCUGUGCGGGAGGCGAGAGCGAAGGAAGAGGAGAGCGAGACAUGUGGGAGGGAUAGUGCGUGGGGCCCACAGUUAGCUAGCGGGUGUGGCUGGCCACAUUUGGCCAGUUCCAUAGGAUUUUUAGCCAGCCGGAUGGCUUGGCUAGUCAAUUGGAGAGUCUGUUGGAGAUUUUUUUUUUCUAUCUUAGCUAUAAUUUAGCUUGGAGAGCCAUUUAGCCACUCUGUUGGAGUUGCUCUUAGGCCCCGAUCGAGAGUGAGGGACGGGGAAUAAUCCCUCCGGCAUGGAAAACGGAGCAGGCCAUUAGCACGUGAUUAAUUAAGUAUUAGCUAUUUUUUUCAAAAAAUGGAUCAAUAUGAAUUUUUUAAGCAACUUUUAUUUAUAAAUUUUUUUUAAAAAAACACACCAUUUAACAGCUUGGGAAACGUGCGCGUGAAAAACGAUGUGGCGGGAGAAGUUGCCCACUGGAACUAGCGCACCCUUAUUUCUUAGGCUGUGUUUAGUUCACACUAAAAUUAGAAGUUUAGUUAAAAUUGGAAUGAUGUGAUGAAAAAGUUGAAAGUUUGUGUGUAGGAAAAUUUUGAUGUGAUGAAAAAAUUGGAAGUUUGAAGAAUUGUUUUGGAACUAAACACGGCCUUAGAUUCAAAUGAAAGAACUUGAUUGGUUACAUCUUUCUAGUAGUUUUGUUUUUCAAGUCACUUACUGUUUCCGAGUUAAAACCAACAAAACUUUUCCCUUCAAAUUUUUUACACCGAAUAGUUGAAAAAGUCAUCCAACUUAUGAUCAAUUCGAGAUGCUAAUUCCAAUUUGCACAUAUCCACUAAUAAGUACUACUCCAUCCUCUCCAAAAUAUAGCUAUUUCUAACACUUAAAUUUUAAGUUUGUAGCAAUGAAAUGUUCAAAAUUCCCCCAUUACCACUUUCCUUAAUAUUUGUUAAAAAACUACAAAAGUAUGGCCUGGUUUAAUUCCCAACUUUUUCUUCAAACUUCCAACUUUUUCAUCACAUCAAAACUUUCCUACACACAUAAACUUCUAACUUUUUCAUCACAUCAUUCUAAUUUCAAUCAAACUUUCAAUUUUAGCGUGAACUAAACACACCCUAUAUUUUGGGAUGGAGUAGUAUCUCUUGAGCCACCUCCCUCAGGCUUGACAAUUUGCCAUUGUGAUAUCUUUUGACACAUGAAUACUGGGAAGCAUUUCAAAUCACCCACCGUCAGUAUUUCUUCCUCUUUGACAUGCAGCUCACCAGCCAGAUAGCCCAACAAAGAAAAAAAACCCAAUGAUACGAGAUGGCUUCUCCAAACAACAGUUACUCAAAGGUCAGCAGCUACAUAGGUACAGUAUAUGCUCUAAACUGUAUGCUCCUAAUUGCCUUUAUCCACAUUUGCAUAUAUUGCAGCACACUCCAAAGCAUUGGAUACAGACUGCCAUCACAGUAGCAAGUUUCAUAUAAUUGCUCAUGUGCAUGGUCAAAAAUUUCUUGCCCUUGUGUAUAUAGUGCUCACUGCACAAAUGGUAUAAGGAAAUACUCAGCGUAGAACAACUGCAAGGAAUACAAACAAUGCAAAUGAUUAACAUUACCAAUGUUUAAUUGGUUAACAAAAUUCAUCGUAUAAACUAGAACACUAUCAUUAAUCACCUUCCAAAUGAACAUGUAAAAUGAUGUGAUCCACGCCUUGUUUUCAACGUCACAGUGCUGUGCUCUCUGCCAAAGUGCAAAGGCAAGCAGGCCAUGGCCGAAAACCUGGAUUAUCAAUGCAACAGCAAAAGGACUUCUCAACUUUCAAACUGGGGAAAUUUUUUUUUGAAAUGAACAAUUUUUCUUCUUCUUUUCAGAAGUGAAGAAUUCACUCACGGUGAUAAUCAUUUGACAUAGAUUUGUAGAUGAUGCUCCAGCCAAAAUGGCAGCCCCAUAUGCUGUUAAUAGUAUGUUUAUGCAGAGCCAAUACACCUAAAUCAGAUAAAAAUAGGAUUUUACACCAUUUUUAAAUCUGGAAUGACAUGUAGAACCAUUAUUUUGUUUUCCAGUGGUAGAAUUGGAUAUGUUCUUACUCUUUCUGGACCCAAACGUACGCUCAGGGAUUCGACGCCAAAAUGUCUGUCACCAUCAAUAUCUGGAAUAUCCUGAAAAUUCAGAAAAGGUCCCAGUGAUGAUAUUUGAAGAGAUGGAUGAAAUAAGGCUAUGACUGAAGAAAAGCCAUUGUGAUCUCACGUGAACAUAUAGUCAACAUAAUUGGGCAUUUACCUUGAAUAAAGCUAUAACUGAAGAAAAGCAACACAUGAAUAAUGUUGCGAAAACCACCGACUUUGUUGGUGCCAAGGGCCUCUUCAGAACAUGUUGCUGUUACAAGAAGAAUUCAAUACUAACCAAAGGGAAAUAAGGAAUUUGAACUUGAGAUGUAAACAAUGUUUUGUACUACCUGCAUAUGUGCAAAGAAAGCUAGCUGAACUAAGACAGCUCUUACAAAUAGUAUACAAGAUGCAGCGAGAAACGCGUUCCUUUUCCACCGGAGUAACGGAGCCUGAAAAAAAGAGUAUGAUGGAUUGAAAAUACAAGUAUUUAUAUGUUAGAUGGGAUCAUGGAACACCAUUUGUACUUACAAAGCUCGGUAAAAACUACUUACAUCAACAGAGUAUGCACUUCCAAGAAAGAAACUGAUAAACAAAGCACAUAACAAAGGAGCUGAUUUGGAUCUGAUUCCAAUGGCAAUGCUCUAGCAAAAGGAAACAAAAUGUGAGGAAGGUGUAUUGACAUAAAACCUGUUUUAUUCAAACUAGAAUAAUUGAUUCUUUAUUCCUGGCGUUGAACCUAAUAUACCAUGAUCAAGGACGUGAGUACUAACACUGCUCCAGUUGCCACUGAAAAUUCUCCUGACGCCAACGGAAGGCUGGGCUUAUUGACCUCCAAAAAGAAGUAUGAUUUAAUCACAAUGAUACUACAUAUCACAUGAUAGAAGAAAAUGUUUUCAAACAGCAAGUAAAAAAUCACCUUAUCAAUCUGGAUGUCAUAUAGUUGAUUCAGGCCUACAACAUAGAUAUUCAUACAUAAAGAAGAGGAUAAAGCCUGCACAUAAGGAAAAAUAAAUGGCUGUUGUAUAUCUAUAGACCAUUAAGAAGAUAACUUUAAGCAUCUGUUGAGCACAGGGUUCAUCAGGAAUUUAAUUUAAAACAUCUCUUGAGCACAGCAUUCAUUACAAAAUUUAUGUAUGAUACCUCAAGAAAUCCCCAUAAUGCUUUCAUAGUAAAAUCAUCUAGGCUCCUCAUUGGCAGGAGAGAAACUGAAGUGAUUCCUAUUAUCUGACAAACAAUCCAAGAACAAUAAGCAGUAGCUAGACAACAUGCAUCCGAAACUGCCAUACAAAAUUGAAUGAAACUCACAGUGCCAAAAAUUGUGUGGGGUCGGCAAAACCGAUAAAAAGCUCCCAGUUUCUGGGGAACUUCUUUGCAAAUUUCUUCAAACUCAGUGGCGAUGGAUUCGUGCUGAUCACCAGCAAUGGCAUAGCAUCUCACUUGGAGGACUGGAGAAUGUUGUCUUUUUUGCCUCCUUAUGCUUCUUGUGAGACUGGUAGCAUUUAAAAUUGCACUUAGUUUUACUUGUGAAGUUGUCAUAGUGGGCUAUCGAAAAUAUUAACCCCAGAUUUACGAGAGUGCUUGCCUUUGACACUGGUGUAGAGCAGAAUUUUCCACCGACAAUUUACCUGUAAUGUGUAAUUGAGGACAAGUGUUUAGUACAUUAGUCACUUUGGACAAAAUUAUAUUUUAACAACUUAUGUUUCAUGGGGGAAAGUGCACACUAACAUCUCUAAAUUAUUCAUCCAUUUUAUCAACAAGGUAUUUUAUUUCUCCUAAAAGAAGAGGAAAAAAAAUACAGUUACUGAAAAGGACACAACUAUGAAUUUGUUAAUUAGGAUAAACUUCAUUUCAGAAAUAUGCACCUUCGAAUUCUUCUAAAACUUAGUGGCUGAAAAAUUGAGGACAUAUUAAUCAGUAAUGCCCUAUAUUUGCAAAUUUUGGGACAAUUUGAACCAUGCCACACAAAUUUUACAAAAUUUGUGAUAUGCCACCCUGACCCACAUGUCAUUGACUCAUGUGGGUCUUACAUGUCAUUGAGAUACGGGUGGCAUAUCUCAAAUUUUGCAAAUAUAGGGUGUCAUGGUUCCAACAAACCCAAUAAUUUUAGUGGGGGCUUCGCAGGGGCUCCCAUGGUCCUCACGUAAGUAGUGGAGGCUCGAGACUCUACCGCCUUCAUGCUAGAUCCGCCCUAUACAAUUAAAAGGAUCGCAAGAUCCUGAAACUCUUCCGGAGAACUAGGAACCCAAAUGUACAAUCUUUUUCUUCAUAGUGAAAAACUUGAAUACAUGUUUGAUCCUGCAAUUAUCAUGCGCAUGCAGUUCAAAUGUUUUAAGGUUUUAUGCUUUAUCCCCCAUCUUCUUCUAUUUGUGGUGCAUCUAGGCUAGCUGGAUUUGAUCUACGAACAACCCAACCCGGAUGCCUGGAAUGUUGAUUUUUAUUGAAAAAACAUACUAAAUAUAGAACGAAAACACGAAUCUCUGUAUACCUCCCCAGGACAGUUUCCUCGUUCCAAACCGAGCCCUGAAUUCCGAUCCCCUCUUAUCUGCAGCACCCAAGUUAAAGAAAAUCCUCAAAUCAAACCGAAGUAAUCAAAGAACAAGACUAACAAAAGACAGUAUAAAAGAGUUGUGUGUCAGCUGGCGGCGGCCGGUUACCUUCCUGGACUUGCACGGUGUGCUGAUGCGCCGCCGGCUUGAUAGCCGAGCACGCCGCCGCCGCCGCCGCCGAUGAGGCUUGCAUCGUCUGGGAUCUUGGAAGAAGACAACGGACGGACGGACUAGAUGAGGAAGAACUGAAGAGGAGGAAAACCUAGGAAUUAAGCCGCCGGCCGGCCGGAUCGAGGAUUUAUGCGAGGGAUUAGCUGAUCUAUCGAUCGAUGGAAGGGAGAUGUGUGGAGUGGGGAUCGAUGAGUUGGGGGACGCAAGCUUUUCUGCUGCUGAUUAAUGCACGCAUGCAUGGCGUGCAUGUAACCGAACCAGCUAUGCUAGCCGCACUGCGCAUCAGCCAGCAGUGAUGACGACGCAGGCAGGCAGCUAUCCCACGCCGCCUGCCUGUGCUGCACUACAACUCACGCGUUGGAAACCAGGCCAUGGUCCACGGGAGUUAGCCGGGCAGUCAGCCCAUUGGGCCGCGAAAACGCGCGUCUAAAAAACCGCCGCAAGUUAUUUAGGAAAAACUUUCAAAUCUAACUAUACUACAAUUGUAAUAUAAUUCCACUGUAACUAUAAUAUUAACUUGUAUAUAAGUAUUAAAAUAAUAUACGCAACUUUAUAUCUAACUUAUAUAGAGAUUACAAUGUAGUUACAGUUAUAUUGUAGUUACAAAUUACUCCAUCCGUCCCAUAAAAAACCAACCUAAUACCGGAUGUGACAUAUCCUAGUACUAUGAAUCUGGAUAUAUAUCUGUCCAGAUUCAUCGUACUAAAAUAUGUCACAUCUAGUCCUAGAUUUGUUUUAUGGGACGGAGGGAGUACAAUGUAACUAUAGUGAAUUUACAUUAUAGUUACACUAUAACUAUACUAUAGUUACACUUGAAAGUUUUUUCCUAUAAAACUUGCGACAGUUUUUUUUUUAGCAAUUUUGGUUCUCGUUUGGAAUAAGUUUGCUUGCCAUCCAUCACCUUCACGUCGAGUUUAAACGGCAUCCUUAGACUGCAAUACUAGAAAUCUUCAACCCCAACUUGCAAAACCGGAUUAAUUAAGAUCAUCCGUCAGUAUAGAUGGUUGGUUUCAUUGACAUAACAAGUUGACUCGGUCCACUCAUGCUGACUAGGCGUAUACGUGAAAAAAAAUAAAAGUGAGCCCCCACAUAUAAUCCUCGCUCUCCUCCCAUUUUCUCCCUCCCUCAUCUCCAUUUUCUCUCCAUCUCCCUUUGGUUCUUGGAGCUUGAUGCAUCGAGCACGUUGCUAGAGAGCGGUGAUUGAGAAGUGGGGGCUAACCAGGAGCGGUGAUGAGGAAGCAGCUCAAGGCGAGGAGGUCUAGUGCGGCGAUGGGUCUGCCAUGGUGGUGACAGAGGCCAAACCGAAGUAGAAACAUCCGUAUAGAGCAGGGACUUCCUCAGCUUCCGAAUAGGAGGAGGAGCUCGUCAUCCAGGUUGGCUCUUCCCCUUUCACCUUCAACCUCAUCAGCUCGCCGCCUCCGUCGAGCUGUCGGGUAGGCGAGAAGCGACAAAAAGGAAUCGGGCUGAGCUACCGUUGCUGACUCGAUGUGGAGCGCUUCCUGCCGCAGGAGGCAUGAUAGGAGUUACCUAGCGAGUCGGGCAGCGUGAGUGGCUUGGGGCUGGAACUAGGACAUGGCAACGACACCACCGCUCGAGCUUGAUUUCCAUCGCCACCACCGUGGCAUCCCUUCCUCAACCUAGCGGCUCCUCCUCUCACUCUCGACAUAAUCAGGCAGCGACGGUAAGCCCCACUCCUAGCGGUAGGGAAGAGCCCAUCCCCAGUGUCACAGGACCACGUACAGGAGCACCCGAGGCGGAGUUACCGGGGCAUCGGGUCCUCUCCUCCGUCAUCGCAGACUACCAUUGCCCUCUAUCCUCUUCGACUGCUCACCGCCACCUUCCCAUGGACUGUCGGUGAGCUAGAGCUCGCCGACUCCCUCAUCUCCCUCCUCUUCUCCUUUUGCUGCCAUGGUCCACAAGAGCCCUCUCAUCACCGACCUCCCACCGCCGCGCUGUCUCCCGCGGACGGGCUUGCCAGUCGCUGCCACUCUCUCCUCCAUUGAGCUCCUGGGAAAGAGAGGGGAGAGGUGGAGAGAUGGGGAAGAGAGGGGAUAGUUGAGGAGAGGAGGAGGUCCACUUACAUGUGGACCACAUGUUUUUUAAUUUUCUUUUUGCUGACUAAGAUAUGACGUCAGCCCAAAACCAACCAUCCGUACUGUCAUGGAACUUGGCUUGGCCGGUUUCGUCUGUAUAAGGGGUGAAGAUUUUUGGUAUUACGGUUUAGGGAUGUCAAUUAAACUCCACGAAAACUGAGAGGCGAUAUGUGGACUUGUUUCUUUCUCGUUUUCUCCCGGAAUAAGUUCAUCUGAGGUCCCUUAACUUAUCGACGAAUCCGAUUUUCGUCUUUCAACCAGAAAAUCAGAUAUAAUAGGUCCCUUAAUUAUCAAAACCGGUGCAAUAUAGGUCAUAAGGAGGUUUGGACGGCGGUUUUAGCUGACGUGGUGCCUACGUGGCUAAUUUGACUCGGUCUUCAUCUAACGCGGCAUUGACGUGGCCCUUACGUGGCAAUUUGAUCCGAAAAAAUAGUAAAACCCGUGGGAACCAUAUGUUAGCUUCACAUACACAAUAAUAAAAAAUGGUGGGACCCAUGUGGGCCCUGCAUGUUAUUCUCAAUCCCCUCCUCUUCUUCCUCCUGACCUCCUCUCUCCCCCAUCUCACCUAUCUUCACCUCUCUCCCCUCUCCUCCCUCCUCUCACCGACGGAGAUGCGGACGGCGUGGAGGCGCGACCUCCUCCACUCCCGUCCCCAUGGGCUUACCGCCGACAGCCACCGUGCCUGCUUCCUCUGCCGCUGGUCGCAGGUGCAUCUGAGCAAGAGGAGCCACAUGCGGGACCAGACUGUCAGCGCCAUGGAUGCAGCUACAUGGCUAGGGAAUGGCUCUAAGCUGCUGCCGACGUGCAGCUCAUGGGCGAUACCCUUGCAGUCACGUGGCGCGUGUGUUGGAGGAAGCAACGGAGACGGGGAGGUGGCCGCGUGUCACUGAGGAGGACGGGGGCCCGGCGAAGGCAAGAGCGGCAACCGUUUCUGAGGAAGGCGCGGGGGCAAAAGGCGGUGCUGGAGAACGGCCACCGGAGGUCGAGGCGAGGGGGAAGCGGCGGCGACGGCAGGAACAUCCGGAGGCGGUGGAGGCAGGCGUGGCGGGCGACGAGGAGAGGGGUGGCGGAUGCCUGUAGUAGGCCCAUGGGGGGCGAGAGUGGAGGAGGCUGCGUCUUCAAGCCGUCCGUUUCUCCGCCGGCAAGAGGAGGGAUGAGAGGGGAGAGAGAUGAAGACAUGGGAGAUGGGGAGAGAGGAGGAAGAAGAGGAAGGGAUUGAGACCAGGGGUUUAUGUGGGCCCCACUAUUCUUUUUUAUUAUUGUGUGUGUGAAGCUGACAUGUGGGUUUUAUAGGUUUUUUUUUUCAGAUCAAAUUGCCACGUAAAUACCACGUUAUAUGAAAAACCAGUCAAAUAAACCACGCAAGCUAAAACCAAACCACCGGUUUUGACAAUUAAACGACGCAUUGGUUGACAAGUUAAGAGACACCAGAUGAACUUAUUCCUUUUUCUCCCGUAGCGCGCGCGGCCCACAGCCUACACGGCCCACCUCCCGCGCUACCCCCCAGUGGGCAGUGGCGACGCUAUCCUCUCCAUCCGCUCGCGGCUCGCGCUCGCCCAUCCAAUCCACCGCAAGCCGAAGCGUGAGCAAAGUGCCCUCGAGCCAUGGCCAUGUCCCUCUCCCUCGCGCGCGUCGCGCUCCCGCCUCUGCUGCAGCAGCAGGGGGGCGCCCCCAGGAAGCUCCACCCCGGCGCCCUCGCGUUCCCCGCCAAGUCGUUCUUCGGCGCGCCGCUGGCGGCCGUCGCGGUCUCCCCCGCGUCGGCGGCGGCGGCGUCGCCGCUCCGUCGCAGGCCGUCGUCCGCCUCCGCCGUCGUCGCGGCGGGGAAGGGGUACAAGAUGAAGACCCACAAGGUACGGCGCGGCUUGGUUGGUGCUGUUCUGGUGUGGAUUGCUGCUGCUGGGGCUGAUUGAUUUCUGUGGGAAUUUUUUUUCAGGCGUCGGCGAAGCGGUUCCGGGUGACGGGGAGGGGGAAGAUCGUGCGGCGGCGCGCCGGGAAGCAGCACCUUCUCAGCAAGAAGAACACCAAGCGCAGGAAGAGGCUAUCCAAGAUGGUAUGCUUCUUCUUCUUCUCUUCUCCCCCCACCACCCUGCAAUCCAGAUACAGUGCAGCUCAAAUUCUGGUCUACUAGUUGUCCAGCUUAUCUAGCCAUGGAAUUUGCUGGUGUUCCUAUGCUUAAUUUUGGAUUGGAUUGCAAUGUGAGCUGUGGAAUGCUAAAUUGCUAAGUGAGACUGUGAGAGUGACUGAGUGAGUGUGGUUCAGCUCAUGGUGCUAUGGAAUGCGCCGAAUUUGGGAUGUUCUAUUUGUGAAUUUCGGGGCAAUAUGCAUAGCUGUCUCCUAGUACCUAUGUGGCUGAAUCUGAUUGUGGGUCACAUAUCUGUGCAUUCUAGAUUGUAUGGGAAUCAAAUGAGUGGCAUUUGUAGCUUCUUUCUAAACUUUGAUGUGUUCAGCUCUGCUGUUCGCGAUAACUAAUUAGUAAUUUCACUCAUUUUUUUUCAGAGUUCAUGGUCCACUAUUAGUUCUUACAACAAAAAAUAUUUUUAGAAGCCACUUCUUUAUGUCUAUGUGCUAUUGUGCUAAGUCCUACUUAAUAUUAGCAUAUUUUUAAAUUGCUGAAUAAUAAUAUGCCAUGCUCUUUGAGUAUUUUUUGGGAAGUUAAAAGAUUGUCGAAUGUCUUAUCCAUUUGAUUAUUGGGGAUCUGACAACAUAAUUAACAGCCAUAAACUUUGUUGUAAUAUUAGAAGCUCAGUAGGUUGAGUGUUAUAAUUAGUGUGCACACGCAAAAGUACAUACCAGCAAUUGAUAAUUUAAUUGCUCAUCUAUCCCAAUCUCCCCUUGAUAUCAAUCCAUGAUUGGUAUGUGUCCUUUACAUUUUUCUGUUCUAAUAAUAAUGUGCAAAUGCAUCAUACACAUUUUGCAUUGGAGUGUUUUGUCGAAAUGAAGUCCACUAUUUUUGUACACUUCUUCUGUAACUGAGUCUCCAUAUUAUUUUAUAGAGGUUUGGUCUUUCCCCCCUGAAGUUCAGUCUUCCCAUUUCUUACCUCUCGGAUCCUUAAAGUAAAGCACACCCUACACUAAAUUUGAGAUAGGAAGCUUUCUUGUAGGCCCAACAUCUGUUCUACUUGUAUCACCAAUGUUUGGUAAUUAAGCGGCUGAAAAGAAACAUUAUUACAAUAAGAAAAUAACAAUGAUUUGCUGGGGGUGUAGUCUAUUUUAGUAGCUUCUGAAGUCCUAAAAGUGUCAUCAUAAAUCAAGGACAACUUCACUGGAAGUCUAAAACUUGUCAUUGUCUACCGCCCUCUAAGAGAACAUUGUUAUCUUUCUCGCAGAUCCAAGUUAACAAGAGCGACUACAACAACGUGACGGGCGCACUGCCCUACCUCAAAGUGAACAGGAAUGCAGAAUGAGAUCUCCUAGGUCUUGCAAACAUGCUUCUGUUUCGUUUCAUCAAAUUGUAAUUUUGUGUAUCUUCUUUGUAUUUCUUUUCUGAAUACCAAGGUCCCAAGUCAUACCAAGCAAGCACAAACAAUUAUUCAUGCCAACAUGUUCAAAAAUGAGUUGCACUUGCACGAGCUAGUUAUUUACAAGUCCUUUUUCCCCUUUUGACAAAGAAAAUUCCAACUGAUAAUGAAAGCAACUAUUAAGGAGUAAGAACAUGAGUGGUUGACUAUGCAAGGCGUCUCCCAUUAUACCUGUGACUAAUAGCAUCUGAUUUAAUUUGCAUUAAGUAAUAUGUGCAGGCUUAAGAAGUGAAAAAAGUCGUUUAUUUGAGCUCUUCUGUGUGAAACUGCGAACUCACCUAAAUGGACAUCUAAGCAUUUUUUGGACUAUAAAAUAAACAUCUUUUGCUUAAUUUAGCAAGGAGACCGUUUAUUUAUUGACUCGUUCACACGAUGCCAAAGUGACAUCUAUGUAUUUUUUUUUAAUUUAGCAAGAAGACCGUUUAUUUAUUGGUUUGUUUGGUUGUAUGGCGGCAUGGCGCCACCCAUUGCCCAAAUCUACUGAGUUAGUGUUUGAUUAGUUGUUGCAAUUGUGGCAAUCCAUAUUUUAGUACUCCAUGCGCUCAAAUUCCAUACACACAAUUCCUAGCUAAACAAUGCCACCCCGUUGGCAAUCCACACUGGUGACAAAUUGAGUUAUGACACGGUUAGGUUAUAGUCUAUCAUGUCCUCAAUCUGCAUAUGUGGUAUGCACAUACAUUUUUAUUGACUUCCAUGCAUAUAGCAAUUGAUUAAUAACAUUGAAAUAAGGGAGGAUCAAAAUAGAAUAAGAUUUGUUUAAGUUUAGUUGUUGGUGGACCCCCACCAGGCCACCACAGAGAGGCAACCGUUUGAAGGAAAAGCGAAAAACGAAUUGUGCAUUAACUAAAGUCAUUCCACUUGGAGUUGAUAUUCACUAAAGAAAAGUUCAAAAACAAACAUUGAUAACCUACUGCAACCUAUGGAAAGUCAUUCUACUCGAAUCCAUGAUUCCAAUAGAAAUCUAAAACCACAGUAGCAACGUUUAUUAUACAACAAACUCAUCCCAAAACCAUUAAAUAUCAACCACAUCCUCCUACUUCUAUGGAAAGUAAUGCUGCCCGAAUGAUAGAUUCACUACAAAAUGUGCACAACUGUAAAAAAAUAACACCAGACUAUUGAAAAACAUAUAGAAAAUCAUUCUGCUCAAAUCCUAAGAUUCGCUAGAGAAACCCGAACCACACUAGUGACAUUUAUUAUACAAGAAUGUCAUGGUAGAAAUAAUUAAAUUACAAUAAGAAGUUCCAACUUCUACGGAAAGUAGUUCCUUUGAAUCAAAGAUUCUCAAAAUAGAACAUGCAAAACCAUCAAAUAAUAACUAUAGGCUAUUGAAACUUAUAAAAAGCCACCCCGCUAGAAUCCAAGAUUUGCUAGAGAAACCCAAAACUACACCAACAACUUUUGUUAUAGAGCAAAUUUCACAAAACCUCAUGUUUUGGGGGCAUUAGAAACAAAUACCCUUGGUCUUGUAAUUUGUUUCAACAAGCCCCGAAUUUUGAGGCAACAUGUUUUAAAAGACAUAAGCACAAACAUUGAUUGUCCAUUUGGCUGUAUAAUAAUUGUUUAAAAAAAUAUAUGAGACAUUUUACUAUGUAUACACAUUGGCAUAUUUUUCAACAAUCAUUGGUUGUCGAUAGUAUGAACAUUUGUAUAUAUAAAUGGUAGACAUGGCAUUAUUAGUGUGGAUUAUGUUAUGAUUUUUCAAUCAUAGAGUGCGAGUGAGAAAGGAGAUGAAGCAGAAAGAAUGGACGUGUAUUUAGAGCAUAUUAAUGUGAAUAUAUAUCUAAAUAAUGUAAUGCAUAACAUUGGAAGUGAGUUUUUUUUUAAAACAUAAACCUAGUGUUUCUUGAAACAUCUUGCCCCCAAAACAUGGGGUUCCUUGAAACAAAUAAGAAUAAAUAGGGUUUUGCAUCACGGAUGCCUCAAAACCAGGGAUUUUGUGAACUUACUCGUUAUUUAUAUAGCAAUGCUAAUGUGAAAACCAUUAAAUUAAUAACAUGCUAGUACUUCUAUGUAAAGUAAUUCCACUCAAGUUAGAGAUUCGCUAAAUAGAAUAUGGAAAAUUGUCAAAUUAUAAUAAUAGGAUAAAUGAAAAACUUAUGACAAGUCAUUCUGCUCGAAUCAUGAGAUUUGUAGGAGAAACCCGAAACUACACUAGCAACAUUUGUAAUACAACAAUGUCAUCACAAAACCAUUAAAUUACAACAACAAGAUCCUAUUUCCGCGGAAAGUAAUUCCGUGCAAACCAGAGAUUUGCAAACUAGAACAUGCAAAGCCAUCAAAUAAUGACUAUAGUUAUUGAACCUAGAAAGUCAUUCUACUCGAAUCCCAAGAUCCAUUGAAGAAAUCCAAAAAAUGCACUAACAAAAAAAAUUAUAGAGUAAAUUUCACUAAACCCUAGGUUUUGGGACAUUUUUAGCAUAAUACCCUAGGUUUUGUAAUUUGUUCCAACAAACGCUUGGUUAUGGGGCAUCAUGUUUUUUUUUAAAAAAAAAUCACAGGCACAAACUUAGAUAGUACAUUGGGCUAUAUAAUAAUUGUUAAAAAAACUCGUAUGGUACUUUUUUUUACUAUGUACACACAUUGGCCAUAAUUUUAACAAUAGUUGGUUGUCAAUAGUAUGACCGUUUGUGUAUGUAUAUAAGUGGUUGACAUGGCGUUAUUAAUGGGGAUUAUGUUAUUUGCAUUCAUAUAGUGUGAGUGAGAAAGGAGGCAAAAUAGAUAGAUGGGCAUUGUAUUUAUAGCAUAUUAAUAUGUGAAUACAUGCAUAAAUAAUACCAUGUAUAACUACAAAACACGAGUAUUUUACAUAAAACCGUGGUUUUUUGAAAUAUUUUUACCCCAAAACAUGUGAUUCCUUAAAACAAAUCACAAUAAUGGGGGGGGGGGGGUUUGCAUUACGAAUGCCCUAAAUCUUGGGAUUUUGUGAAAUUUACUCUUUAUAAUAUAUUAUAGAGCAACACCAACAUGAAAACAUUAAAUUACAUUUCAUCAAUAAAUCCACUGUUUUUGUGCACUUUUUCUGUAAAUGAGUGCAAUGGGUGUUUUGUUGAAAUGUAAAUCCACUGUUUUGUGCACUUUUUUAGUAUCCAUUAUACUUUAUAGAGGUUUGGGGUUUCCCCCUUGAGGUUUGCUCUUCCUGAUUCUUACUACAUCUUAUAUACUUAAAUCUUACCUUACACUAAAUUUGAGAUAGGCAGCUUUCUUAUCCUUCCCAACAUUAGUUCUACAUGUAUCACCAUUUUUUUUUCAGAAUUAAGGACCUGAAAAGAAACAUUGUUAUUAUUAUUUUCUUGUAAGAAAAUACCAAUAACUUACUGGUUAUGUAUAGUCCAUUUAAGUACUUUAGUCCUCAAAGUGUCAUACUGUGAAUCAAGGGGUAACUUCAUUGGAAGUCUAAUACAUGUCGUUGUGUGCUUCAAAACACAAUUUACAUGUCCUCUAAGAGAAUGCACAUUGCUAUCUUUAUCGCAGGUCCAAGAUAACCAGAGCGACCACAACAACGUGAUAGGCACACUGCCCUAGCUCAAAGCGAACCAGAAUGCAAAAUAAGAUCUCCUAGGUCUUGCAAACCUGCUUCUGUCUCAUUUCAUCAACUUGUAAUUUUGUGUCUCUUAUUUGUAUUUCUUUAUGAAUAUCAAGGUCCCAAGUUAGAUCAAGUAAGCAUAAACAAUUUUUCAUGCCAACAUGUUCAAAAAUUUUGCACGGUCUAGUUCUUUACAACAUUUUGCAAGUUUUUUUUCCCCUUUUGACAGAGAAAAUUCCUGUUCAUAUUGAAAGCAAUUAGUAUUAAAAAGUACAAACACGGGUGAUUGACCAUGCAAGGCCAGCUGAAAUAAACCACAAAAGGACAAUCCCUAUUAUACCGGUGACUAAAUAACAUUUGAUUUAAUUGCAUUAAAUAAUAUAUGCAAGACUUGAGAAGUAAAAAAACAAGUCAUUUAUUUGAACUCUUCUAUGUGAAACUGUGUGCUCACCAAUUGAAAUCUACGUGCUUUUAUUGGAAUACAAAUAAACAUCUCGUGUUCAGUUUAGCACGAAAAUCGUUUAUUUAUUGACGUAUUCACGGCUUCAUGCCAUGCCACAGUGAUAUCUAUAUUUUUUUUAUAGUAGAAGAAUAUCAUUCUUUGAGGGCUUCUUUGGUUGUAUGCCACACAUUCCCUAAGCCUUAGGUGUGUUACAAUUUAUUGGGUUAGUGUUUGAUUUAUUAUUGUAAUUAUGGCAAGCCACAUUUUGUUACUUCAAAUGUCAUACACACAAAAUUCAUAGCAAAACAUUCUCACCCUUAUGGCUAAUAAAACAAUGGUCACACUUCGUGAGUUUGUGUGGCAAGUCACACUUGUAAAAAAAUGAGUUAUGACAAGGUUAGGUUAUAACCAAACAUGCCCUUAAUCUCUAUAUCACAAAACCUCUAAAUACUAGCUAAAGUCAUUCAACUUGGAACCUGUAUUUGCUAAAUAAAUGAACAAAAACUUAUGUAACACUCAUAAUCUAAUAGAUAAAUCUAAAACUACAUUAGCAUUGUUUAUUAUACAAUAAGCUCAUCGAAAAAUCAUUAAAUAUCAACCACAUGCUCCUACUUCUAUGGAAAUUGAUUCCUCUCGAAUCAUAGAUUCACUAAAUAGAACAUUCAAAAUAAUCAAAUAAUAAUGGCAUGCUAUUGAAAAAUGUAUUGACCACAUUUACUCUUUAUUCUACAGCAAUGCAAACACGAGAACAUUAAAUUAUAACAACAUGCUUCUACUUGUAUUUAACAAAUCUCUGAUUCAAGCGGAAUUACUUAUCAUAGACCUUGCCACCGUGCUAGUGUGAGUAACAUUUAUUAUCCAACAAAUACAACGGAAGCUUUAAAUAAUCAUUUUGUUAGUAUCAUAGUGCUAGUAUCAUCAUUUUGCUGUAUUUAUAGCGUAACAAAUACAACAAAAGUUUCAAAUAAUAUACACUAGUACCAUCAUUGUCACCAAUGAAUUAAUUGAAAGCCAGCCACACUAGAGAUGGUUUUCAACUAUAGCACACAUGGAGUAAGAGCAUUUAACUAUUUACCAUUAUUUGGCAAUCAUAUCUAAAUAACGACAAACUAUUGAAAGUCAAAGAAAGUGACAUGUUAUUGGGACCGACAGAAAGUAAUUUUGCUUAAACCCAAAAUUCACCAAAGAGAAACAUAAAACCACACUAGUAAAAUGUAUAUAAAAAAAUUAAACCCAAGGGAAGAGACGUUCUAAAUACAUUGCUUUAAGAUAAAAAAAAAAUCCCUAAAAGCCGGUUAGAUGCACCCUAUCACCUUAGCUACAUGCCACGACCACGGAAAACACAUAGCGAUGGACCUUUUUUUUUUGCGUGAGCCAGUAGUGAUUGAGCCCUCGUCAGCGGCCUCACUCGUUGGGAUCUUACCAUCGUGCUAUGAACAACAUAUAUAAUUCAACAAAUACAAUAAAUGAUUUUUAUAUUAUACACCUAGCUUCAUCAUUUAUGAAAACCAGCAAAACCAGAUGUGGUUUUCAACUGUAGCCCAUAGAAAAAGGGCAUUUAAACAUUUACCAAUAUUCGGUGCACACACAUUUACUCCUCGCAUCAAGGCUCUCGCAAAAGUGGGAAGAACAGUCCAAUAGAACAUCAACCAGUGAAGUGUUAGUGGCAGCGGAAGAAGAAACAUGCAUGCAACAAUAGUCAGGAAUUUAAAGCUAGGGAUUUGCACGCACACAGGCCAAAAUACCUUCCAAAUUUCUCUGCGAGGGAGCGCGUGAAUUCCACCCCCAUCUACUGUCCUGAUCCUCUCCUCUCCUCGUCGAUAUAAAUGACGCCCUCCCCCUCGCUGUUGCACCCAUCCCUCUCUGACCUCGAGUUGCAGCUUCUUGUGCUGUUUUGAGCCAGCAUUCGAGGGAACCCAUCGGAAAAGAUCUGAAAGGUGGGGGUUCUAGGAGGGUUUCUUGGUGUUCUUGUAUUGGUUUUGGUGGGUUCUUGCUGGGGGUGCGGAGGGGGAGGGAGAUUUUGGUGGUCAGUCGUUCGUCCAGAUUGGGGUUUUCUUGUUGCUGAUCGUGUUUGUUUUUUUUUUUACCAAGGGGAUCCAAGGGACGAACAUGGCGGCGACGCAGGCGACGGCCGCCAGAAAAUUCCCAGAGGGUUUGCGCGUGCUUGCCGUCGACGAUAGCCCCGUUUGCCUCAUGCUCCUGGAGGCGUUGCUUCGCCGGUGCAAGUACCAACGUGAGUUCUUGGCUUGUUAGCCGAGUUGUUUAGUUAGAUCUUUUUUUUGUAUAUAUUUUUUUCUUGUUGUUUGCUUGAUUUCUGCGGUGGCCGGGAUGUAGCGACGAUGACGAGGGACGCGGCGACAGCGCUACGGAUGCUCCGGGAGAGGCCGGGGGAUUUCGACCUGGUGAUUAGCGACGUGCACAUGCUGGACAUGGACGGCUUCAAGCUUCUCGAGCUCAUCGGCCUUGAGAUGGAUCUCCCCGUCAUCAGUAAAACCCCUUCCUUCACACCAACUUUCCAUUUUUCAUGCAUGUCAUGGCUUCCCUUUCUUGGUAUUUGUCCCUUUUCUCUUGGAAGUAGAUGUCUAAAGAAGUAGGAAGUGUUGCUUUCAAGUAGAUCUGUUGAAUGGUUGUUUGUUAUACAUUGGAUACCACGUGAGAUCCUGUAUAUUUAUUGACUUCACACUCAUACUUGGGCUGAUAGAUGGUACUAGGUUGGAGAAAAGUGGUCACAUGUCUAUUAUGUGCUUGGUCUUCACAUUCAUCAAUAAUAAUCUGAACAUGUAACGGAAUUUCAGUGGGGAUAUUAUGUCGUUGUUUUAUGAUCCGUUAUAGUUGUUGUUUUGUUGGCGUUACUACUUCCAAGUAGAUAAGUAGAUAAAUCAAAUGGUUUGUCGUACAUUGAAUAGUACUUGAUAUUCUGUAAAAUUAUUGACUUCAUUCAUACUUGGGUUGGUAGAUAGUAGGUUAGAGAAAAAUGGCCAUUUGUCUAUUAUGUGCUUGGUCUUUAGAUUCAUCAACAAUAAUCCAAACAUAUGUAUAGCGGAAUUUCGGUGGAUGGAAUAUUAUGUUGUCGUUUUAUGGUCCAUUGUACUUGUUCUUUUGUAGGCGUUACUAUUUGCAAGUAGAUAUAUUGAAUGGUUCGUUGUACAUUGGAUAGCACGUGAGAUCAUAUAAACUUAUUAACUUCACCCAUACUUGGGCUGAUAGAUGGUAGGUUAGAGAAAAAUGGCCACGUGUAUAUUAUGUGCUUGGGUUUUAGAUUCAUCAAUAAUAAUCCGAACAUGUAACGGAAUUUCGGUGGAUGGAAUAUUCUACUGUUGUUUUAGGGUCUGUAGUAGUUAUUCUUUUGUUGGUGGUACUACUUUCAAGUAGAUAAAUUGAAUAGUUUGUUGUACUUAGAUAGCACGUGAGAUCCUAUAAAUUUAUUGACUUAAUUCAUACUUGGGAUGAUAGAUGGUAGGUUAGACAAAAAUGGUCACAUGUCUAUUAUGUGCUUGAUCUUUAGAUUAAUCUGAACAUAUAACAGAAUUUCAGUGAAUGGAAUAUUCCCUUGUCGUUUUAUGGUUUGAUAUAGUUGUUCUUUUGUUGGUGUUAUUGUCGAAUCUGCAUUCGUGUAAUCGUGUUACAUGUAUUGUCCUAUUUUUUCUAUUUAAUGUGCAAAAUAGUAAAACCUAUAUCAUUUGAAACCGUCGAACAUAAAAGUGACCAUAACUGUAGCAUGUCAUUGUCUAGCACGUGUGAAAUAUUUGCUUACAAUAAAAGAUGGGAAAAACAUGUGUAAUACCUUAAAUAUAUUCAAAAGAACAGAGUCCAUAUAUAACUAGCAUCAUCUACGCCACAUUUUUUUUCCUGAUCCGGAUCCACAGGCAACAGUUCAUGAUGCCCAGUUUAUUGAAACAAAUUCUGAUUGCUGACUAUACGCUGUGCAGUGCAAUCCGCAAAUGGGGAGCUUGAAACUAUGAUGAAGGGCGUGACCCAUGGGGCAUGUGACUACUUGGUGAAACCAGUGAGCCUCAAAGACAUCCAGAACAUAUGGCAACAUGUGUGGAGGAAGAGAAAGCUUGACAUAAGGAACCACAAUGGCGGUUACAACGACGGCGGUGAGCUGGUUGGCGCGACGCGGACCAAGAGGAAGUACACAAGGAAGAUGAGAAAUGAUGGAGAUAAUUAUGGUGAGAACAAAGAGAACAUGGAUUCAACUCUGAAGAGACAAAGGGUUGUCUGGACACCUGAGCUGCACCGGGACUUUGUCAUUGCCGUCCAUGAGCUUGGAGUUGAUCGUAAGAGCUCAUGCAUCAUGUCUCAGUUAUCAAACAAUCUUUUUCUUUUUUUCAAUUUGUCUUAAGCAAUAAAUAUUUUGAUUAUGUGAAUGUAGGUGCUGUUCCAAGGAAGAUAUUGCGGAUGAUGAAAGUGGACUACAUGACCAGAGAGAAUAUUGCAAGUCAUCUUCAGGUUUAUAUCUACACUUAUGUUUAAUUUCUAUGUUUCUAUAAUUAAAGAUAUUUGGAUUACUCUUUUCUGAUCGAAAGUGUUCCAUACAUAAACCUUUCAUAUCUUCUUUUAAUGUGUGCACACAACUAGUAAUCAAUUUUUUUGUGAUUUUUUUAUUGUUUUCCAAUGAGUAUGGACACAUCUCAACCAUGUGUUUGCCUUUCUUGGUUUCAGAAGUAUCGGUUAUACCUGAAAAGGAUCAGCACUCAAACAGGCAUGGAUCCUGAUCAAUUUCCUGAAAAAUGGAAGUAUAUGAAUGAACUGGAUGCUCUGAAAAAUUACUGUGAAAAUGGGAGAUACCGUCUAACCCCAGCCAUUGCCUCCUCAAGCUCGAGCAAUCCAUUUGCAAGGAUGAAUUCUGCAUCUGCAUUGGCAACAAAUGGCUUUCUGCCCACUCACUCAGUUCAGCUCAAGAACAGCCAGAGAAACAUGGCCAUGGGGACAGUUGGCCAUGGUGGAAGCCCGGGCAACAAUCCUGUGUUUCAGCCACUGCAGAACUCAUCAAAUGCAAGAAAGUGCUUCCCAUCUGGCCCAUCUGGGAGCUCAUUUGCAAACAUAUCAAAUGGCUUGGUGUUGGAUACAGACGAUUCUGGUAGCUCAUAUGCUGGCAUGUUCUGUAAGAGUAUGUGGGAGACAAGCAAUGGCUCUCCAUCUUGCCAUUCUGGCAACUCGUCUGCAAACAAGUCAAAUAAUGGGGUUUCGGCGCCUGCAAAUCAGUUUCAAGUACAGUCAAAGUUUGGGUUUUCAGCUCUUGCAAAUCAGUUUCCAGUGCAGUCAAAUUGUGGGUUUUCGGCGCCUGCAAAUCAGUAUCAAGUGCAGUCAAAUGGUGGGUUUUCGGUGCCUGCAAACCAGUUUCCAGUGCAGUCAAAUGGUGAGUUUUUGGCGCCAACAAAUCAGUUUCCAGUGCAGUACCCUGAAGUGAAUAAUCAGCCUUUGGUUCAGAUGAAUCAAUCUUCUACAAACCACUUCAGCACAAUUGGCAAUGAUUACCAAUUUCCGGACCUUGCAAACUGUAGCAAAUACUGGCAACCUACAGCACCAUCGAUGUUUCCUGAUCUUGGUCACAAUGAUGGGACAUCUUUCCGCCCGUCGCAGGCGAACAUCGCCAAUAUCAACCAGCUCUCAAGCUUUGCAGCCUCCAGUGGCCAGGAACCGAUGUUUGGAGAUGAACUACAUGGUCAAAUGUCACCAAUCAUGAGCACCAUAUCACUGUCAGAUUUCGAUGAUCAGAUGGGGUCAUUCAACAUAGGAAACGACACAAGCCCAGCAGAGAUGAUGCAUGACAACUUCUCACUUGGUAGUGACUCGAACAUCAGUUCUUCAACACCAACUGAUUCAAGCUUCGGUUCUACAUUUCCUGACUUUCAUCUCGACAGCCCUGAGAUGCCGGCUCAGAUGCUGAAUGGUGGGGAUGAAGAUGGCAUUCUUCUCCCUGUGCUCGAUGACACAGUUGAUCAGCAAGAUCUUUUUGAUCAACUAGAUGAAAACAAUGGUAGGGAAAAACUUGGUAGUGGCCGAUGUGUUAGGAAGGGUCCCUUUGAAUGUUUCUUUUAGAAGAGCAAUUGUAGGGAAAAACUUGGAAGAUUGGCUUGAAAUUGUUUCAAAGGUGGUGAGUGUCAAUUUGAAUGAUAAGCAAGACCAAUUCUUUUGCAAGAGCAAUAAAAAAGGGUUGUUUUAUGUUAACUCCAUGUAUAAAGCCCUUAUGCUUAAUGGUGUAAUACAUAGGAAAUCUUUAAUUUGGAAGCUAAGGAUUCCUUUAAAAAUUAAAAUUUUCCUUUGGUAUAUUGAAAAGGGGGUGAUUCUAACAAAAGAUAAUCUUGUUAAAAGAAGAUGGAAGGGUAGCUUGCUUUGUAGCUUUUGUAACUCUAAUGAGUCAAUUCAACAUCUCUUCUUUGAUUGCAUAAUGGCUAGAUACAUUUGGAAUGCGAUCUAUCUUACUUUUGGAGUCAAGCAACCCCGUAAUAGUUCACACUUGUUUGGAAAUUGGUUAAGAGGUUUUGAACCUAAGCUUAAAAGACAAACUUGGGUAGGCAUAGCGGCGAGUUGUUGGGCUUUGUGGCUCAGUAGAAAUGACUUAGUCUUUAAUGGCUACAACCACGUAUCUUUUUUGUAGGUAAUUUUCAAAGCAACUCAGUUGUCAAGGCUUUGGUCUUUGCUUCUUAAAGAAGACGAAGGCAUUGAAGUAAUCGCGAAGUGCAAGCUUUUAGAGAAGCGUAUGAUGGAGCUCUUCUCUACUUUUGGGUGGAACUUUAGAAGAAGGAUUGAAGCUUAGCUUUUAGUUCCUCUUGCUUGUUAUCCAUCUUUAAAACUUAUUUAUGCUUUACCCAUGUAACGGGAGAGUCUUAUGUACUCGUGUUUGUGACUUUUAGGCUGUGUACACCCUCACAAGGUGUAGAGGCCGGGUUUUUUAUAAUCCAUUAUCUAAAAAAAAAGAUGAAAACAAUGGUUUCAUCACAGGAACAAAUGGUCCAGAAGGGACAGACACCUUGGAUGACAUUGUUGCUGAGCUGUUUAAUGAUGUAAGAUACUCUCCUUUUUCCUGCAGAUCGGCAGCUCGUUUUAUUCUUCUUUUCUCUCUGGUUUCGAUUUUUCUUCACAUACCUGUAGCCAGUAUUCACUACACUGCUUGAUUCAUACCGUUGGUUCAUGCUUAUAAUAUUGAAACAUUGGGCAUCUUUGAAGUAUAUUUCGUUUCGGCUUGCACUUUACACUUGGAAUUCGCUGAGAAGUGCAUCUGAAUGGAACUUAUUUUCUCACUGCAGGAUUUCAUGGAAGGUUAUGAUGCUGUCGUAGAUGGAGACCAGGAUUUUGUUCCUUAGUCCUGACUAUGUGAGAUAUGUUCUGUAUCUGCAUAGGCUAGCUGCUGAUUUAAUCCAUGGCUGUUGCACAUUGUGUGUGCAAAAUUGUGCCAAUUGUAAUAGGCUAGUUAGAAGCAGGUCAUCUUCAGAAAAAGCCCCAUUUCCAUCUAGAGUAGUCAGCUCAACAAAAGAUUUUAGCUUCGUCGUGGUUUUUGAGAUCAUAAAAAAACACAUUGAAGUUUUGUCAGGUUGAACGUGUUCUGAUUGAUGUGUUAGAUGGUUAAAUGGAAUAAUUUUCAUGAAUUAUUCGAAAUGGUGCGCUUUAUCCAGUUUUUAUCUGGCAAUACUUUUUUUUUUUCGGGAAUACAUCUGGCAAUACUGUUCCUUUCUUAGAAUUAUAGAGAUAACGCUUGUUUUACAUGCAUGACCAUUUACUGUGCAGAUAUAGAACCAAUUAUUUACUGGGAGAUAAAUGGAACCAUGGAAUAUUUGGGUGUCACAAUUUCUGAUUCUGACUGGGUGUAAGUGGGUAAGCCGCGAACCCACUUAUAGGUCAAAAUAAACGAGUUUGUGGCUUAUUUUGGCCUAUAAGUGGGUUUCGCGGGUUAGCCGCUUACAACCUUUCUGAGUGACUUAUUGAGUUUCCACUGUAUGUUACCUUAAUUUAAUUUUCUGUCUAACAGCCUGCAAGAAAGAAAAAUUCCUUUUCCUUAUUUUUUCCAUGUAGCCAAAAACAGUUGAUUACUGUGUAGACAGUCUCAUGUUUCGAUUGUCUGUCGCAGUAACUGCAUCUUCUCAUUUUGAUAUCUGUGCAAGGUCCUCGUUGUACUGAUCUAUCCAUCCCUGUAUGAUCUUAACUUCUUGUCUUCGUUGUUCUACAACCCAAUCUGGAUCAUCUUUAGUUGCUGAUCUGAAGUCCAAAUGAUGAGCUCCUGUACAAAUGGUAUCAGCAUAAGUCUGUCUGAAAAUAUUUUGACUUUACACGUUAUCUUCAGAAUCUUGUUUACCUUUCUCCGUGACAAGGGCAAUGAUACUAGAUGAUAUGUUCUUGAGCACCCUGAUUGCAAAGCAGUAGGGAGGGAUAAAUACAUUAUGGUUUGCUACAGCUGAAAAGUUUAUCUGAAUUACUGAAACUUAUAACAUGAAUGAUCAAAUGGUGAAAUCUUUCAGGCAUACCCGCCACGGCUCCAUGGGUCUCGCAUUCCGUUGGAGAAGAUGAUGUUGCUCCCAAACCUCUUGAGCACCAGGUCAAUUCUCUGUAUCAAAAUGUGGAAUGCAACACCAGGUGAAACACUUCGAAAACCUAUCAAUGUUGCUACUACCUGUUCAUAUCUGAAACUGCAAACCUGAAACAACACUCACAUUUCCACCAUAUUCAGUGGUGAUCCAGUGUGGUCUCGGACGAACACCGUAGCUCUGGAAACAGUCAUCAGAUUUCCCCUCAUAAGUGAAGGUGAAUGGAGGGAACAUGCUCUCGUUCGAUAUCGUCAUCGGCAUGACCAUUUCUGUGCAGGCCUGCAAGAGAAGUUGCUUCAGAAAACACAACUAGUAUCUAUCUCAGUAUUGUCAGUGGCAUUGUAUCAAUCACCUGCCAUCCCCAACCACUGAGGCCAUGGGGGUCUUCUCCAUCCUCUAACUGGAAGCAUGUUUGAUCUCCUGUGUAAUUGUAGUACAGACUCGCCGCUGCGAAAGCUUUGUCAACGAUGUCUGCUCCUGCAGGGAAGCCGUGGAUGAUCUUGCACAUCUGUAGAAAUUUCAUGAGAAAUUUACUGAGAACUGAAAUUCCCUGGGAAUUAUAUGUUCAGUGAGACAGAAGAACAGGCAUGGUUUCUGCUCAGCUCAGUUUGGUGUUUCUGACACAAUCUUGGUUAUGCAUUUGGUUGAAAUGUAGAGAGGAGAUUUGGACAUUGUUUGCAGAACAUAGGUAGAGAUGGCAACCUCCUUGAUAGGAUAGGCAGGCAGAUUCAUCAGGAAAUUGGCCGGGGUUGGAUAGUCCACCAUGGCUGUGUACACAAAUGCUGUCCAUAGCCAGUUUCUGAACGAGUAAACCGAUUUCACAGUCCUAAAAUUUGAGGGAGGAAAAAGGCAAUAUUGUGAACUCAGGUUAGUGUAAAUCCAAUCAAUGUCAUUCUUCAUCUAUUCAGAAGUUGGGAAGAUGACCUUUAAUCAAAGAAUGAUCAUGGCUGUCAUAUAUAUAACUGAUAAGGUCUAUGUCAUUUUUUUACAUAAACCUGUUCUGUCUGGUAUCUUAUCUAUCAAUAUAUUAGGCAAUCCUUAUUGCCUUCUUAAAAAUGGAUAAGUUUUAUGCCACCUGUAAAUUUAUAUAGUUUCUUACACAUCACGACAAUGAAGCAUAAUUACUUGAAUUUGUGUGUGUAUAUUAUCCUUUUCUGAAUCUGCAUGCUAUUUUUCUUUUCUUGGUAUUGUUUGGUUGAUCACUUGCACUGCACACAUCUGGAAUAUAAUAAUUACAAUGAUCUCAAUUUUCUGUUUUCCUUUAUAUCUAAUAAGACUAUAAGACGUGGAUAAAAUUUUGGAUAUUCGUGGCACGUUUUUCAAACUACUAAAUGGUGCGUUUCGUGCGAAAACUUUCUAUAUGAAAGUUGCUCUAAAAUAUCAUAUUAAUCUAUUUUUUAAGUUUGUAGUAAUUAAAACUCAAUUAAUCAUAUGUUAAUACCACCUCGUUUUACGUAAAACACUUAAUCUUAUUUUUCAUCUUUAUCUUUAGGAGAAAAGAACACCACCUAGGUAGUGUAUUAAACCAGCAAUAAACUUACUUGCAGGCUCUGAAGGUUUUGCUGAGCUGUAAGAGCCCUGCAUCAGUGGAUCCCCUCUCAUCUAUCAAAUCCCAAGCUGCCUUGAUAACACUGAAGCAAUUGAAGCUUUCAGACUGCAAUAUCAGUUGCAAGUUAUAGUCAGUUUACAAAAAGAUUAAUCGAUGGUCAGUCACACAAAGAUGCCAAAUCUUACUCGGAAAAAAAAUAGAUCUGGUAAAAAAAAGAGUAAACAGCUCAGUCAAGUGGUUGCUUCUAUGAAAUACAUUUUUGACAAAUCGAAGAGAAGAUUUAUAGCCAGUCGCCAAGAAAGCGACUUUAAGGUCCUGUUCUUAAUGUCCGUAUCCGUGGAUUAUUUGUGGAUUAUUCAUACCACACUUUCAAAAGUACGAUUUCUCGACAAACUUUCUAAUAGAUCACUCAUCAGCCCUCUCCACAUUUCAUUGGGCAUUUGGGCCCUUAAAAAGCAGCAACCAUGUCUGUACUCUUGAUAAGCCUAUGGCGUGGUCACUCAAGCGUCGCAAUCUAGCUAAUUAAACAGUAUAAUCACAAUCAGCCAUGCAGGUUGCAUGGUCUUCAGGGCCUUGUCUACCUGAAUCAGGUUGCCAUUUCAAUCCAGCAUUUAAGCUGAAUGUACAUGAACAGUGCAGAGGCUAAUAGUCCAUCAUAACAAAUCCAUCAACUACUAACUAACUAUACCGGCAAAUGCUCAAUGAUCAUUCAUCAUUGGACUUGUAGUGUAGGCAAUCAGCUGCAGGAGGAGACAUGGCUGCCAUGCUUACCAACUUCAAGCCAACACGUACUGUCAGUUACAGUAGAUGUACUGCAUGCUGUGACUGACAGGUCAAAAGAUGACGAUUUUUACUGUACGUGACAACGGUCCAGUGACAAUGACAGUGGGCCACACCUAGAUAUUUUUCUUUCGUCAGAUUUCCAGACAAACUGGCACCGGUCGGUCAGUAGUUGACUUUCAACAUCUAAUGCACAAUUUCCUUAAACAGUUCUAUGAAAUUAUGCAUCCCAAAAUAAACCUGUCCUUGAACAUAAAUAUUAAUUUUGGUUACAAAACGCAUAACUAGUUUUCAUUAGUAAGAUUUGAUUUGGUUAAAAAAAAUACCGAUACCUCACAGUGCCAAAUCGUUUUCAAUCAUUGGAUCUAGCUGGGCAGGAUUGACAUUGUUAGAUUCAACGAUCGAAAAUGAUUUGAUACUGUGAGGUACCAGUACCUCGAGGUAUUUUUUUGUUGGACCGGAGCAAAUAUCAUCAUUAGUACCUUGUAAUCUUGCGAGACGGCCUCGUAGAAGCUGCUCCAUGGAGUUAUGUAGUCGAACUGCAGGAUCGGAGCAGAGGACGCGACGGCGCCAAUGGUGACAUGGGGAUACUUUAGCCUGAACCAUGAAGCCAACACUGCAAACAACAAGCAAAACAACAAAAAAAAAAGGAUUAGUUCAUCCUAAUCUCGCUAAUCCUAAUACGAACAAAACCCCACGACGGCCAAUGUCAGACACGCAGUACAACAAUUAUGGUAACUUUAUGAAUCAUCCGUGUGUUUAUAAUCUAAGAGAUCCAGAUCCACGCCGCAACGAACAAAACAAAAAACACAUGACACAUGCUAAGUUCCUUAAUAGUAACUUUUAACUAUGCAUGUAAAUACAAAGCCUCGUCGUUCCGUUUAUGCUUAUACUUACUUGUAAGUCUAAAUUUAAAUUUUAAAACUUAAUUUUAAGUUAAUUUCGUGGUUUUCCAUCAGAAUUUAUUUUACAACAUUUUAUCUUGAAUCGUGCUAAGGACACGUGUAAAAAUGUUUUAUCCAUAAAUUAUUGUUUUUACUAAUAAAUCGUUUGGAUAAGCAAAUUAGUAGCGGAAAUAAUGGGACUGACAUUUUUUUUAAAUUCAUUUUUAGAAAUAAUGGAACUCACAUUUGUUUAGAUUUAUAAUUAGAAAUAAUGGGACUCACAUUCGUUUAGAUUCAUUGUCAGAGAUUGUUAUAUUAUGAGGAAUGGGACUCACAUUUGUUUAGAUUCAUUUUCACAUUUGUUUAGAUUUAUUUUUAGAAACAAUAGAAUUCACAUUUGUUUAGAUUUAUAGUUAGAAAUUGUUAUAUUCUGAGGAACAUCUAUUAUGAGACGUAAUAGUUAAUUAAUUACAAUGAGAUUUGGAUCAAACAUUUUCUCUAAAAAGAAAUUAGAACAAACAUUUUUUAAAAGGAAAUUAUGAGCAUGUUGAGGAUUGAACGUGAGGCAUUAGAAUUGAAACCACACACCAAUUACCACUGCACUGAUAGUGCAUCUCAAUACGUAAUAGUUAAUUUAAUUAUUGGUGACUUACUGCCGCCGUAGGAGCCACCGAAGACGACGACGGGGGAGGAGACGGCGGAGAGGUUGUGCUUGAGGCUGGUGAUGAGGACGGCGAAGUCGGCGAGCGCUUGCGUCGACGUCAGGUACCCCAGCUUCUCCGGCGAGCUGUUCGACUCGUUGCCGAACGGCUUCGACUCCCCGUAGAAUCGAUGCUGCUUGCUCAAAUCAUGCUCAUCAACCGUAAGUACGGUGUUAAUUCAGUGUGAUUAGUGAUGUGUGAUUGCUUGCCUCGAUGAAGACGAGCAGGGCGCCGAAGCUGGGCGCGAUGUCGAACAUGAAGCCGGUGUUGGUGGCGAACCACUCGAUGUCGCCCUCGUUGCCGGUGUACACGAAUAUCGGCCCGGCCGGCGUCUCGCCGGCGGCGGCGCUCCGCCGCCAGAAGGUGUCGUUGACGAGGUACUUCUGGUAGAAGACGGCCGACGCGUUGGGCGUGAAGGUGAAGUGGUCCAGCUCCUGCGGGAAGUAGUGCGCCGUGAACGGCUUCGCCGCCGCCGCUGUGCCGUUCCCUCCGGCCGCCGCCGCCGCCGCGGCGACGACAUACCUGCUGCCGCCGGCGGAGCUCGCCGGCCGCCGCUGCUGCAGAGCUUGCAGCUGCAGGGGAGGGACUCCGGGGAAGACGGGGCUAGCUGCAGCUGCUGCAGAGGGGGCUGCGACGAGGAGGAGGAGGAGAGCUGCUGCUAUGGCGGCGAGAGGGUGGAGUGGCGAGGCGGGUGCCGCCAUUUUUGCAGCUCGUCCGUCUCACUCGCUCGUGUGGGGGUUUAUUAAAGGAGCAGAGAUGCUCUGCCAUGUCGGGCCCACAUGUCGGUGCCCCAAACGGCAGGUAAGACGUCGGAGUAUGGUAGUACGUAUUUUGUGGAAUCUGUGUCCGGCCUUGCAUAUAUUGCAUGCAAAUCGUUCUGAUGCUUUCGUGAGUUUUAUCCUUAAAAAAAAAGGCGAAUACUAGGAAAUAACUUAAUAUCAAAUAAUUAGAAGGGGUGAUACUUCGAACCCAGAUCGUCUAGCCCACCACCUUAUGAAGUUAGCCGAAAAAUUCUUAUGUGUUUCUCCUUCCGAUUUGAACAAGAAUAUAUACUAAAGAUUAAUUGUCAUUUAAAUUGACGGACUUUGGGUCCAACGACUUUGGAUCAUAGCGUGUUACGUCUGAGCUCUAGGAUAUUGUCAUUUGGUUUGUGGUCUUGUGGACAAUAUCGUAGCCUCGUAGGAGACUCGGCUAUUACAACAUGUAUCAGCAAUACAAUGUGUCCCUGCAUCAAAAGAUACAGCUACCUCUAGCAUUUAAAUUUGUUCAAAAUAUGACUAUUUUUUCUUAUUAAUUUCAACUGAUCACAACAAUCGCCAAUUAAUUUCUUCAUCAUUUUCUUAUCUCAACCAAUUACAACCAUUCGCCACAUCACUUUACCUACUUUAUUAAUCUUCGUGCUUGCAUAGUUUCAAAGGUAGGAGUAACUAUAUUCUGGGAUGGACAGAGAAAAUGAGAGAAUGUUUAUGGUAGUUGAUCUUAAACGCAUUUGCUCCUAAGCCUCUUUUGGAAUGCAAGGAAACUCAGACACAAAACAUGGAUAAAAUUACAGAAAAUAAACUAAUCUAUAUAGCAUACUAUAAAAAUUCUUACAUUUUAAAAAGAGCACCUAAGAUCGAAAGGCUGAAAAUUAUUUCGAGGCAUGGAACCCCAUUUGCCUUUAUUAAAGAAACACGCUCUCUACUAGUACACAAGUCCGGAUAUCGUCCACACACAAGGUGCCGAUGCAGACCGGCUGCAUCAUUCCUAACGCAACCGGACGCUCUAGAGUCUAGAAACAAUCAACAAGAGAGAAAAUUGGCUUCUAGAGUGACAUGGACAGAUUGUUUGCCUGUUGAAGCUUGCACAUGUGGAUUACCUCGAGGAUAAUCCCCCGAAAUGUGGGGAAAAUAAAGUAAUUAAAUGGUCUCUCUCUCUCUCUCUCUCUCUCUCUCUCUCUCUCAAAUGACAAAAUGAUCUCUUUUGUGUAUAUAUCAUUAUCCUAAGCAAAUCCAGUUGAUCAUAUUCAGUCAUGGGUCCAUUCAUGUUGUCCAAUCCAAAUCAGCUGCAAAGCUAGGCUAAGCAUCACGCGUCAAAGGCGUUUGGAAUAUUUCAUCCAAUGCGUGUAGUGUGUGGAAACAUAGGAAUUAUAAUGGUAUUGGGCUGAUUGAUUGCUUGCACAAGGCUCAUCUUGCCUCUUAUACGUAGUAGAUGCAGUGUCUUUUCAAAAAAGCUUUUUUUCUUUCUUUGUUUGAUGGAAAAGCGUUUGCAGGUUAUCAGUGGAGUGAGCCAGAAUGACCUCACGAGUUUGUUUGAUGAAAAAUGUUCCAUUUGUCUCGUAUGUGGUCAAAAGGAACAUGUAAAUUCCUGCUUAAAUUGGACCCUUUUCAUGUACUAAAUAAAAUACAUGCAUUCGAAAACUUGCAAUUCUCCUGUAGAGAUCAGAUAGAGACAUCUCAGUGCAAUCAAGCAUCUUAGUGACAGGAAUCUGCCGACGGGGCAGGCUGAUGAGGGUAUUGUUUGAGCCCAUCAUGUGGCCGUGGACUAGUUGGGCUUUGUUUGGGCCCACAACUGGUGUCAAUGAUCCCAAGAUUUGACCUUCAGCUGCAAAAAGGAGACAGCUCAGAGCUCCAUCAUAGCGGCAAUCUACGUUGCCAUGAACUUCUGCACGGCUAAAUGUUUUGCCCUUUCCCUACUCUCCCGUGCUCUAGCGUCAGCUUCAGAAACAAAAUCUACUGCCAAGUAAACGUAACAAAUGCACCUCAAUUGAUUAGGUUUUCUACGAUGAAAAACAACCCAUCCAAGUUUAAAUUCUAAACUUGACAUAAAUGCAUGCUCAUAUUUAUGAUUAGUUAAUUUUUUUCAAAGGUAAACAAUAUACCUGUUAGUAGCGAGACAUCCAUAGUGGCAUCGUCAAUCUUUCAAACUAGUCUUUCGAAGGUGUUUAUAAGAGUAAGAAUAUGCAUAUUUAUUUAUAAGGAUGAGUAUGCGUGCAUUGUGAGCGGUUGCAUUUAUAUUGUGUUUCUCAUAAAAAGGAACAAAAUUUACCCACAUCCCAAUGAGCGAGCGUGGUAACUUAUCAAUCUCAAUAUAUAUCGGACCAAUCUUAUGAAGAUGCUAACUUAGGAUGGGACAUUUAAGAACCUAGGAUGGGAGGUUCUUAUAUUUUGGGACGGAGGGAGUAUUUAUUAAGAUAAGUGCGAUUCGUUAUGAACAAUUGUAUUUAUACCAUGUUUCUUACUAACUCCGUCCCAAAAUAAGUGCAGUCAUGGAUAUCCGUGCCCAACGUUUGAUCGUCCGUCUUAUUUGAAAAAAAUUUGAAAAUAUUUAGUCAUACAUAGAGUACUAUUCACGUUUUAUCAUCUAAUAGCAAUAAAAAUACUAAUCAUAAAAAAUUCAAAUAAAACGAACAGUCAAACGUUGAACGUGAAUAGUGCAAAACUGCACUUAUUUUGGGACGGAGGGAAUAAAAAAUCUACUAACGUCCCAAGGAACGAGCGUAGACGGUGACAACUCGCACGUCAUUAGUUGCAACCGUACAUCAUUCCCGUGCUACAGGGCGCCCCUUGAUCAGUCGUGUCAGAACACUCUGCUGCAAACGGUCAAAAGAAGCAGGUUACCACCAUGUCCACUAGUGAUGGUUACCACCAAAAUCUACCCAGUUGACGAACGCACAGACAGUGUCAGUCAUCACAAGGCAACAAGAUACUCAAACUGACCUUGCAAAAAGCUCAGUGAUUUUUCAAUCACUCGCUGCGGUCCUGCACAAGAUCUGGAAAUCUAGGCGUCGGAGAGUCCCCAACUGAUCAUGUGAGUGCAUGAAAGCACUAAGCAGACAAUGCUGUGCCACAGCAGUGGCUUGUACAAUGCAGCAGUACAGCAGAAUAGUUGAUCAAAUGAGUGCAAUAGUGGAUCAAAUGAGUGAUGCACUUUUACCGAUAAACACUGAAGGAAUAUGAUAGCGAUAAGAUAACAGAUCCACUAUAUAGUGUCACCCAUGAAAGAGUUGAAACCCUAUAAUCAGUUCCACAGUAAACUCCAACAAGUGCACGGAUUUAGCAGCAAAGAUCAAAUAGGCUUUUCACUCUUAAGGCAAAUAUGAAGGGUAGAGCUAUCAGAUUAAUAUACAAGGCACGUCAGAUCACUAUUACAUCACAAAUAUUGCAUUGGCAAAUAGUUCACUGCCAAAACCAUAAUGCCGGUUGUUGGGAGAAGACAACAACAAUAAAACAAAACAAGAAAAAAAGUGCUGGUAAAGGCCGAAGAUAAAUAAUACAUAAAAGGAAGGCUUAUUUUGUUCUUUGGAACUAUGUAUAUACAAGAUGGUGGCCUUGUUUGUAACCUGUCUAAGUAGGGAAAUCAGCACAGACAUGUGACAAUGCUCAAAGCAUUUUAUCCCGUGAUAAUUAUUAUGAGGAUUUAGAUGGUUGGUACCUCCAAUUUGCAUGAAUCCUUUCUGUUCGAAGUCUGCCAGGAAAACAAAACAAUGCGAUGUGUAUGUAUAAUAAGCGUCAAUACAAAUACAGAGAAUAAAAGAAACUAAAACUUGCAAACUAUCAAAAUAAGAGGGGAGAUUUUUGCCUUUCGCCACGGACUUGUUACAUCAUCUCAUACAUGCCACUUGAUUGGGUCAGCGCAACAUGUAAGUGCAAAUUCAGUGGCAUAAAUGAAAGUAAAAAUGUGUUUUAUGAAUCCGAAAAAAUCAGUUCUAUACAAUUAUUAGCUUCUCAGCAAACAGAAAAAUACCAGACAUGGAUCUAUACAGAUACAAUACAACCAUAAGAAACUAAGGACUGUUUUGGGCAAAACAUGGUUGAAAACAAAGAAAAUGUACUAGAAUGGCUCAGGUUAACCCAAACUGUCAAUUCCCAACAGUUACAAAUGCCCACGGUUCUGGCAACAUGUACAUACUACCUCCGUCCCUCAGUACAUGAACAAAUGAGUAGAAUCAUUUAACAUGUACUAACAAGAAAUAGCUGCAACCGGUAACUUGCUGGGGAGCAAGGCCUCCUAGUAUGACAGCCGAUUGAACAUAUUACCAAGGAACCAAGGAGAUGCCAAAUGAUCUCCAAGGGGCAGUCAAAUCAUCACAGCCACCAGUUCCAAAUGCCUGUGUGGUUACAACCGUAAGAAACUAAGGACUGUUUUGAGUAAAACAUGGUUGAAAACAAAGGAAAUGUACUUGAAUGGCUCAGAUUAACAACUGUCAAUUCCAAACAGUUACAAAUGCCCUUGGUUCUGGCAACAUGUAACUACUCCCUCCAUCCCAGUGUACAUGAACAAAUGAGUAGAAUCAUUCAUUAUAGCAUGUACUGACAAGAAAUAGCUGCAACUGGUAACUUGCUGGGGAGCAAGGCCUCCUAGCAUGACAGCUAAUUGAACAUAUUACCAAGGAACCGAGAAGAUGCCAAAUGAUCUCCAAUGGGCAGCCAAAUCAUCAUAGCCAUUCAAGAAAUAAAAAAAUAACAAACAAUGAAAUAUGCAUCCACAGAAGUAUGCUGUGAAAGUAUGAAACAACAAAAAGAAAGAUCACGCUAAAGCUAACUGAAUAAACAGUUAACAUUCCUUUAUUAGUGUUACAUUACUUAAUUUUAGAAAAAAGAAACAAUUAAGCUCCUAUGAGCAAGUAUUGUCAUCACCGUGCAGUAAGCAAGUUAGACUACAAGUAUUGCCCUGGUACCAUAACAUCCCCCCAUUUAUGAUUUAUUCAUUCUGGGAAGACUUCGUGCUCAUUAAAGUGCCUGCUGGUAAAAAAGUAAGAACUAAAAUACCAUUGAGCUGAUUACCAACAGGAUAUUGCAAUGGGUAAAAAGUAGCAAACUGCCAUCGCGAGACAUGCUUGCUAAUUUGCCAGAGCACUGUAAAAUGUCGGUUGUGGGAGAAGAUAACACGAAUAAAACAAAAGGAAAUAAGUUGCGCUGAAGUGCUGAUAAAGACUGAAGAUAAAUAAUACACAAAGACGACUAUUUUUUGGUCGGUAGGGAUAUCAGCACAGGCAUGUGACAAUGCUCAAUGCACCCAUUGGAAAUUAGUAUUGAGAAUUCAAACGGUUGGUACCUCCAAUGGGUGAAUCCUUUCUGCUCUAAAUCUAGCCAGGAAAACAAAAUGAUGCAACGCGUUUGUGCAAAUUCCGUGGAAUACAGAAAAUAAAAUAAAUUUACAAACUCAAAUAUCAAAACAAGAGGGGAGAUUUUUUGCCUUUCGCCACUGGAUAAGAUCAAGGCAACGUGCAAGUGCGAAUUCAGUGGCAUACAUGAAAGGCAAAAUGAGAUUUAUGAAUCCAGACAACUCGGAUCCAUACAAGUACAACCAGGAAAACUAAAGACUGCUUUUGGGUAAAAUAAUGAUUGAAAAGAAAAGAAAUAUAUUUGAAUGGCUCAGAUUAACCUAAAUGGCAAUUCCAACAGUUCUGAAUGCCCGUGGUUCCGGCAACAUGUAAGUACUCCCUCCGUCCACUUUGUACAUGAACAAAAUGAUGAGUAGAAUCAUUCGUUAUAGCAUGUACUGAGAAGAAAUAGCUGCAACUGGUAACUUGCUGGGGAGCAAGGCCUCCUAGUAUCACAGCUAAUUGACAUAGGCAUGUCCUGUAGCAAAAUUUGCCUUGAACAUAUUACCAAGGAACCAAGAAGAUGCCGAAUGAUCUCCAAUGGGCAGCAAAAUCAUCA